GCGUCAUGUUUAGUUCUGAGCAAUAGCAGCCUACUAUUGUCAGGUCAACAACAGUUUGUUCUGCUCAACUGAAGUAGUAGCUAGUGUUUUUUUUUUUGUGAUCUCAACUCUUGGAUAGCUUUGUGUUCUUUUGCGACUGUGUUUGUGCUUCGAUUAUCAUCUGCUCAGUGUAACUUCAGACUGACAACAGCAGCGGCUCGUGUCCAUCUCCUCUGCCUCAGGUAAGCAGCAGCAUUAUCAGUUGUCACAUAAGUGAUAGACUAAGGCCUUGUUUAGUUCGCAAAAAUUUUUAAAAUUUUCCGUCACAUCGAAUCUUUAGUCGCAUGAAUGGAGCAUUAAAUAUAGACGAAAAUAAAAACUAACUGCACAGUUUACCUGUAAUUUGUGAGAUGAAUCUUUUAAGUCUAGUUACUCCGUGAUUGGACAAUAUUUGUCAAAUAAAAACGAAAUGCUACAGUAGCCAAAAACAAAAAUUUUUGCGAACUAAACAAGACCUAAUCUACGAAAGGUUUCAUGUACUGUUAACUAGUACCAAUUGUAUUAUCCACUGUGUACUGAUGGGAUUCUUGAAUGGAAUAUGGCAACUCAUGGGAAAUUUUUGACAUCCAAAAUGUUAGAUCUGUACCUGCUGAAUUAAUCAGGUUAACAUUGAUCUACGUCGUCAUAUAUAUAUAUCACAGUAUACCAUGAAAUUUCUGCAACAAACCUCAUCAGUCAUCGCUAGGAGCGACUGGAAUGACAAGACUUUUGUGCCUUACUGCCCUGAUCUUCCCCAUUAUGCUCUGCCUCACAACAUCCGCCGCCGGUGCCGCGUCUGACACACUCGACAGCGGCAGCAACAUCACCGACGGUGCAACGCUGGUCUCGGCCGGCGGGUCCUUCACCCUUGGUUUCUUCUCCCCGACCGGGGCGCCAACCAAGAGAUACCUCGGGAUCUGGUUCACCGCCUCACCGGCCGAGGCCAUCUGUUGGGUGGCCAACCGUGAAAAGUUCCUCAGCAACACCUCAGGAGUUGGAGUACUGACCAUCGGCAGCACCGGGAGCCUUCGCCUUGUCGAUGGCUCUGGCCGCACCGCGUGGUCUUCCACCGCGACGAGUUCUUCUGCUCCGCCUGUCGUGGCGCAGGCGCAGCUGCUUGAGUCUGGCAACCUAGUGGUGCGCGACCAGAGCGGCGGCGACGUGCUUUGGCAGUCAUUCGACCACCCGUCGAACACCUUGCUCGCCGGCAUGAGAUUCGGUAAGAACCCACAGACUGGCGCCGAGUGGUUCCUCACGUCGUGGCGUGCGUCGAACGACCCGACGCCGGGUGGCUACCGUCGUGUGCUGGACACCAAGGGACUCCUGGACUCCGUCUCGUGGCAAGGCAACGCCAAGAAGUACCGGACGGGCCCCUGGAACGGGCUGUGGUUCAGUGGCAUCCCGGAGACGGCGUCGUACAAGGAGAUGUACUCCGUCCAGGUCGUCGUCCGCCCCGACGAGAUUGCAUACACCUUCAACGCCGCCGCCGGCGCGCCCUUCUGCCGCCUCGUACUGAAUGAGGUCGGCAUGGUGCAGCAGCUUGGUUGGGACCCUGUCAGCCGGGUGUGGAACGUCUUCACGCAGGCGCCGAGGGACGUCUGCGACGACUACGCCAAGUGCGGCGCGUUCGGCCUGUGCAACGUGAACACGGCGUCCACGCUGUUCUGCAGCUGCGUCGUCGGGUUCAGCCCCGUGAACCCCUCGCAGUGGUCCAUGAGGGAGUCCGGUGGCGGGUGCCGGCGGAACGUGCCGCUGGAGUGCGGCAACGGGACGACGACGGACGGGUUCAGGGUGGUGCGGGCAGUGAAGCUCCCCGACACUGACAACACGACGGUGGACAUGGGCGCGACGCUGGAGCAGUGCAGGGCGAGGUGCCUCGCCAACUGCUCGUGCGUGGCCUAUGCAGCCGCUGACAUCCGAGGAGGGGGUGAUGGCAGUGGCUGCGUCAUGUGGACGGAUGCAAUCGUGGAUGUUCGUUACGUAGAUAAAGGGCAGGAUAUCUACCUGAGGUUGGCGAAGUCUGAAUUAGGUAAGCACAGUUACAUCUCCCAGUGUGAAUCAUGAGCAAGUUUCAUCAUCUAUAUAUUCCCAUGGUGCAACAUGUAUAUUUCUGCAGUUGAGAAGAAGAGGAAUAUGGUGAUAAUAAUCUUGCCACCAGUUACGGCAUGUGUGCUUACGCUCAUGGGGAUAUUCAUUGUUUGGAUAUGGCACAAGCGCAAGCUUAGAGGUAGAACCAGAGUCACUUCACUACUUGGAAUUCAAUGAUGAUUCGUACUGAACAACAACAUUAAUAUUUCUGUUAGGAAAACGUCGAAACUUGGAUAGCCAGAAGAAGAUGAUGGUAGGACAGCUGGAUGAGUCAAAUACACUUGGUGAUGAAGAUCUCGACCUACCGUUUUUUAGCUUUGGAGAUAUUGUUUCUGCAACAAAUAAUUUUGCUGAAGACAAUAUGCUCGGGCAAGGAGGCUUCGGGAAAGUUUAUAAGGUAAUAAAAGUAAAUAUUUUAAACCAUGGCAGACAGCAUGGAAAUUAUAAGAUUUCUUGUUUAAUUUAAUGAUGGUGAAAUGAAAACAUGCAGGGUAUUCUAGGCGAAAAUAGAGAGGUUGCAAUCAAAAGGCUCAGUCAGGGCUCUGGACAGGGCAUAGAGGAAUUCAGAAAUGAAGUAGUUCUAAUUGCGAAAUUGCAGCACAGAAACCUUGUUAGGCUCCUUGGUUGCUGCAUUCAUGGAGAUGAGAAGUUGCUAAUUUACGAAUAUUUACCAAACAAAAGCUUGGAUUCCUUCAUUUUCGGUAUGUAUAAACUAGUUGUAUUUUAUACAGGAAAAAAAGAAGAAGAUAGUCAUAGUUAUUACUCUGGUUUGCUUGCUUACUUUACUUAUAAUACAAUUGUAUAUAGAUGCUGCAAAGAAAAAAGUUCUCGAUUGGCCAACAAGGUUCAGGAUAAUCAAAGGAAUAUCAAGGGGAGUUCUUUAUCUGCACGAGGAUUCAAGAUUGACAAUUGUGCACCGAGAUCUCAAAACAAGCAACAUAUUGUUGGAUGCAGAUAUGAACCCUAAGAUAUCAGAUUUUGGUAUGGCAAGAAUCUUUGGAGGGAACCAACAAGAAGCAAAUACUAACAAAGUUGUUGGGACAUAGUAAGUAAUCAUCCAUGCCUCUAUGUUUAACAUUAAUUCUCGUUUUCCUAUACCUAUCAAUUUUUUUUUACAUGCAUACUACUAAUUAUUUUUAAGCAGUGGUUACAUGUCUCCUGAAUAUGCAAUGGAUGGAGCUUUUUCUGUCAUGUCUGAUACAUAUAGCCUUGGGGUUAUACUGUUGGAGAUCAUAAGUGGUCUAAAGUCGUUUCAAAAAAUAAGUGGUCUGAAGAUCACUUCGACUCACUCCACGAGCUUCCGUAACCUAGUAGCUUAUGUAAGUAUAAUGGUGUUCUUCAAAUUUUACAAUUCAAACAAAACAAGCUGAUAUUCUACAAAUUUUCUUGGAUUGGUUUAGGCAUGGAGCUUAUGGAAUGAUGGCAAGGCAAUGGAUUUGGUGGACCCAUCCCUUAUCGAGAGUUGUUUACCAAAUGAAGCCUUGAGGUGCAUCCACAUAGGACUCUUGUGUGUCCAAGACAAUCCAAAUAGUAGGCCCCUUAUGUCAACGGUUGUGUUCAUGUUGGAGAACGAAGCCGAGUUACCUUCAACCCCAAAACAGCCCCUGUACAUCUCGCAAUGGUAUGAAGCCCAAGGGACAGGAGAGAACACAAACAGUUCCAUGAUGAAUAACAUAAGUGUCUCGGUGUUGGAGGGACGGUAACGUUAAGUGAUUAGGUUGCAUUUGUUUAAUUGGAAUCAAAUUCCAUCGUUGUGAUGAUAAGGAAAGAACGCAUCAUCUUUGCUUGCCGCACAUUGGGAGUCCACCAGGACAAUGAUUUUUUUCGUCUCACAUGGGUGGCCUUAUAUAUGUGAUAUGUCUUUAGGCUUACAAACUAAGUUUAUUUGACGUGUGAUAUAUACUCUUUUGUUUUAAGCUUUUGUGUGUUGUGUGUAAUAAUUUUGUUCCGAUUCCUCAAUUGUGAGGAUGAUGCCGGAUGUUCUAAAAAAAAUUACUAAUAUUGGGACAAGAGUUGGAGUGCAACUAGUAGUAGGUUAUUCCCUUAGUCUCUAAGUAAAUCAAUUUCUAGUGUUGUUGUGAGUCAGAUUGUUUUUAGAUUUGUUCGAAUUCAUAGAAAAAAUCACCAAGAUUUAUGGUACCAAUGAAAAUAAUUGUAAGACUACUUGAAAUCUAUUUUCGUAAUGUGUUCAUUUGGUCUCAUAAUUCAUAAAUAUGGCACAAGACGACGUACACCUUGUGAAACUGCUCUCUGCUCUGCCACCGGCACCGGAGCGGUCUUGUUUGCCGUGCGAACCUGCGUUGUUUCCGGUGAUUUGUGUGCAGGCUGCCAUGGUGAACGCACGAGCGUUUUGUACCCGACGCGGCGACACACUGUCGCACUGGUUUUGCAUUGUCUGACCGUGAUCGAGUAAUCGAGACGAAUGCUCGAAGCCAUGAAACUUGUUGUCGGCGCCGUCGACGGAACGGGCCGGGUUGGCUAUUGGCACGAUGGCCGCCGGGCGCGAGCUGCUUCCAACGUCGGCCUCUCUGCUUGGGCCUUCUCUGUCUCUCCGUUGUUCUGGGACUGGCCUCUCUGUUGACGUUGGUCGAGUGGUCCGUAUAUAUGAUGAUGAUUUCCUCUGGGCAGCUGGGCUAGGCCGAAAACACUCGGAGGUCCGAACACGGAAGCCCAGCUAAGUGGCGGUCUGCCAGAGUCGACCCGCAGCCGUGCCUGCUGCCUCCAGCUCGAAGAGGUCCGAGCCCAACAAACGCGAUUUUUUUUAAAAAAAAAAGCUCACAUCAUCAUCAAUCAUCAUCAUCAUCAUCAUCAUCAUCGUUGUAUUGGUACGAGUACAGUCUUACUAGCUACUCCCUAGGAAGAUUGCAACAGUGAUGCAUGAUCAUGGGUUGCAAUCUACUUAAUUUGUAUGCGCUUUGGUAGAGACCAAUUAAGCGCCCAGUUUUAGCUGAUCAUCGUCCUUACAACACGGUAAUAACUUCGUCCUAGGAAAAAAAAAAAACUCCCAGCUCAAUAUAUCACGUUCGCUUCAGGCCUUUCUCCGACCGUGAAACGUACUGCUCUCAGCAGACAGCGCAUUGAAGGUUGGAAGAUGGAACAUUAACAAGUUGGAAAGCGACGGCCGACGACGGGCCAAAACAUCGACGAUCUGGUCCAAAGAAAUGGAGACCUGUUGGACUUGGACAGUUGGACGGCCUCAGAUGUAUCGAUGCUAGUUUAUUGCGAGAGAAAAACAAUGUAAUAUAGUGCUGGUUCUGACCGAAAAGAUCAAUAGAACAAGACUCAUCGCUGGAUGGAUGCCGUCCUUGGACCACGGCGAUAGGGAGUGUCGUGUAUGCUGUGUUCACAAGCAAGCUCACAGCACGUAUUACAUUACAUAUACAGCAGAUUGUUGCUCUAGGCCUAGGCGGCACCAGACGACUCGGUGGCUCUCGCGGCCGCGUCAUCGUUGACGUACGACCGCACGGUCACGGCCGGGAGCCGGGCGGCGCGCGCGCGGAUGGUAAGGUAUGCUCCACGCACCGUGAAUCGGUGAGCCAAUGCGCACAACUGAUCGAGCCACAGGGCUCCGGAUCCGGCGGAGUGCGGUACACGCGCGCGGAACUAUAUAUGUGCUGUAUAUAUGUAUCUGAUGAGGAGUCGCAAAUUAAAGGGAGGAGGACUUGAAAGGUGCGUGAUGCGUCAGCGCGUGCGUCAGCGCGUGCCUUGUUUGAGAGCUUCUUCCGAUCCACAGGGAAGGGACCGUCACGUCGUCACCCGGCCCAUGUACCAUCACAUCAUGCAUGGCAACUUGCGAUUAAUAGCGGAUCGAGGCGCGGGGAGCGCACCGGUGAGAUUUGACUAAUGCUCGGCAUCGGCGGGGCCCCAGUCAGCGGGAAGCUCAGCCAUGGCUGCUGGGUGCUGGCUGGCCACCGCAACAGCUGAUUGUCAACCUACGCCACGACGCGCUGCAUGCCUACAUACUUUGGUCCUGUUCACUUACCGAAUUUGUCAGCCGUUCCUCACAACAAAUUUAAACUAGUUAGACAUUAUGUUUAUGCUUUUUCUAGGUUUAGGCCUAAUGCUUAGUGAGGUUUGCAUACGUCUUAUCACUAGAUGCUUGUGUGCAGCACUAUUGUACUCAAAGGGGCUUCUGGUCUUGCGAGAUUAUACCAACUGUGCUAGUGGUGUGAUCAUCACCAGUGUAUUAGAGAGAAUGAGGACCGUGGUAUUUUAUCCAGAAGCUUGAUAGUGAUGACAAUAGGAAACGAUCUUAAAAAAAGGCUAUCUUGGAGACCCAGUGGCAAGCGGUAGCAGGCAAACAUCGCACAUUCUACUCCUAGUGUCUAAGAGAUGCGUAUUAAGUAUUAUUAGAUUAAUCGUAGAAUGUAUAAACUUAAAAGUGUUUAAAUCAUCACAAAGUGACGUGAAUUUACUUUUGGAUGAAGAUAUGACGUGACUGGUCUAGUAUGCGUUAAUUGCGCAAAUGCGACGGUGUAACAGUUUCAUUUUUCGUGUAAUAUCUAACAGCCUCCCCACGCUGAUUUUCGUGUGCAAGGACAAAGAUACAUCGCAAAUGGCGGUUCUCAACCUCCUCGCCCUGAUUUUUGCCACGCUACUACUGCUUCUCAGAAGAAGCUCCGGCGCCGGCGCCGGCAUUUCGUCUGACACGCUGAACAACGGGGGCAACAUCACCGAUGGAGAGACGCUGCUCUCCGCCGGUGGCUCAUUCACCCUGGGUUUCUUCUCCACGUCGACCACGGUGCCAACCAAGAGGUACCUCGGGAUCUGGUUCACGGCGUCUGGUACGGACGCCGUCUUGUGGGUGGCCAACCGCGACACGCCGCUGAACACCACCUCCGGCGUCCUGGUGAUGAGUAGCCGGGUGGGCCUUCGCCUUCUCGACGGCUCCGGCCAGACCGCCUGGUCCUCGAACACGACCGGCGUCUCUGCCUCUUCGGUGGCGCAGCUGCUCGAUUCCGGCAACCUCGUCGUGCGCGAGCAGAGCAGCAGCGCCAGCGCCAGCGCCACCUUCCAGUGGCAGUCGUUCGACCACCCGUCGAACACCUUGCUCGCUGGCAUGAGGUUCGGCAAGAACCUAAAGACCGGCGUGGAGUGGUCACUCACGUCGUGGCUGGCGAAGGAUGACCCGGCGACGGGAGCCUACCGUCGGGUCAUGGGCACAAGGGGCCUGCCGGACAUCGUCACUUGGCACGGCAGCGCCAAGAAGUACCGCGCCGGCCCGUGGAACGGUCGCUGGUUCAGCGGCGUGCCGGAGAUGGAUUCACAGUACAAGUUGUUUAACAUCCAGAUGGUGGACGGCCCCGACGAGGUCACCUACGUCCUCAACACCACGGCCGGCACGCCCUUCACCCGCGUCAUGCUGGACGAGGUUGGCAAGGUGCAGGUCCUGUUGUGGAUCUCUUCCAGCCGGGAGUGGAGGGAAUUCCCAUGGUUGCCGCGCGACGCCUGCGACGACUACGCGUUGUGCGGUGCGUUCGGCUUGUGCAACGUCGGCGCCGCGUCGGCGCCGUCCUGCAGCUGCGCCGUGGGGUUCAGCCCCGUGAACUCGUCGGAGUGGUCCAGGAAGGAAUCCUCUGGCGGGUGCCAGAGGGAUGUGCAGCUGGAGUGCGGCAAUGGCACGGCGGCGACGGACCGGUUCACGCUUGUGCCCGGCGUGAAGCUCCCUGACACGGACAACGCGACGGUGGACAUGGGGGCGACGCUGGACCAGUGCAAGGCGAGGUGCCUCGCCAACUGCUCGUGCGUGGCCUAUGCCCCCGCCGACAUCCGAGAGGGUAAUGGCACUGGCUGCGUCAUGUGGACAGAUAACAUCGUUGAUGUCAGGUACAUAGAAAAUGGGCAGGAUCUCUAUCUGAGGUUGGCCAAGUCUGAAUCAGGUAAGGAACAACUGAAGCAGUAACCUAUCUCAAUCAAGAUUCUGAGGCAAAAUCCAUCAUCUUAUCAGCUACUACGAUUAAUACUUCGUGUAAUACAUUUCCGCAGCUACAGGGAAGCGGGGGCGUGUGGCAAAAAUCUUAGUUCCAGUGAUGGUGUCUGUGCUUGUACUCACGGCCGCUGGCCUGUACCUUGUUUGGAUAUGCAAGCUUAGAGGUACAAACAGACUAUCAGAGAGAGCAACUUCACCACGAAGAACAAUUCAGGCACAAUAUUUUUGCACUAGUGUAAGGUUUAUUAAUAACAAUUGGAAUUGCUUUUCUUGUCAGCCAAACGCCGGAACAAGGAUAAUUUGAGGAAAGCGAUCCUAGGAUACUCGACUGCGCCAUAUGAACUCGGUGAUGAAAAUGUAGAGCUUCCAUUUGUCAGCUUUGGAGACAUUGCAGCAGCAACAAACAAUUUUUCUGAGGACAAUAUGCUCGGGCAAGGUGGCUUUGGGAAGGUUUACAAGGUUAGCAAAAUAUACAUCUUUUAAAUAAAACUGUAGAAAUGUGAGAAUUAUGGCACUGCUAGUUCAAUUUAAUAAUGGUGAAACAAUGCAGGGUACCCUGGGACAGAACAUAGAGGUUGCAAUCAAAAGACUCGGUCAAAGUUCAGGACAAGGUGUAGAGGAAUUCAGAAAUGAAGUUGUUCUGAUUGCAAAAUUGCAGCACAGAAACCUGGUUAGGCUUCUUGGAUGCUGCAUCGAUGGGGAUGAGAAGUUGCUGAUUUACGAAUACUUACCAAACAGAAGCUUGGAUUCCAUUAUUUUUGGUAUGUGCAAAAUUAUAUUUUUGUGAUUUUCAGGGAAAAAAAGUUAUGCUUUUUGCAAAACAAAAGAAACAUGUGACAUGGUUACCUUUGGAAUUGCUUACUUUAGAUGCUGCAAGAAAAUAUCUCCUUGAUUGGCCAACACGUUUCAAGAUAAUCAAAGGAGUAUCUAGAGGACUUCUUUAUCUCCACCAGGAUUCAAGGUUGACUAUAAUUCACAGAGAUAUGAAAACGAGUAACAUACUGUUGGAUGCGGAUAUGAGCCCCAAGAUAUCUGAUUUUGGCAUGGCAAGAAUCUUUGGUGGAAACCAGCAUGAAGCUAAUACUAAUCGUGUUGUUGGGACAUAGUGAGUAAUCAUAGCCAUGACUUUUAAAGUGAAUUCUGUUUCCCUAUAUACUCUUCUCAGAUUGUUUACUUCUUUUGAGCAGUGGUUACAUGUCUCCUGAAUAUGCAAUGGAUGGCGCAUUUUCUGUCAAGUCAGAUACAUAUAGCUUCGGUGUCAUAAUCUUGGAGAUUAUAAGUGGCUUGAAGAUCAGUUUAACUCAUUGCAAGGGCUUCCCUAACCUACUGGCUUAUGUAAGUGCGUGGUGUUAUGCUUAAUUUUCUGUCACAGUUCAAGCAACAGCUUUCUAAUUUCUAUAACAUUUGAUCCCAUCGGCUCAUCAGGCAUGGAGCUUAUGGAUAGAUGACAGAGCGAUGGAUCUUGUGGAUUCAUCCCUGGCUAAGAGUUGUUUCCACAAUGAAGCUUUACGGUGUAUCCAGAUCGGAUUAUUGUGUGUGCAAGACAAUCCAGAUAGUAGGCCACUCAUGUCGUCAGUGGUGACCAUGCUUGAGAAUGAAACCACACCAGUUCCGGUACCAAUACAGCCAAUGUAUUUCUCAUACCGGGGAACAACCCAAGGGACAGAAGAAAAUACUAGUAGUUCUACUAAUAACAUGAGCCUCACAACAGUGUUAGAGGGACGCUAGUUGUUUGUAUGUCCGUUUCUGGAAUAGAGAUGUGCAAUAGUGCAUUAGAGCUUAUUUGUUUUAGAGAAGUUAUAUAUUGAUAUUACAUGAAGAUGCAAACAGUGAAAAUUUAAAAAUUAUGAUUUGAAGUUACCUUUGGUUGCAAUUAUGGUACCUCACUUGAGAGUCGUUGGGUAGGCCUCAGAUGUCAGAUUAGCUCGUUGUUAAUGGAGAUUGCAAUGGGGCGUGAUUCUCAAUUAUUUCUCAAUUCUUUAAAAAAAAUAUUCUUCGCAGAGAAUUUUUUUAUUAGCUGACGGGGUUUGUGUAAUUUUUCCCUCAUGGGGGUCUCAAGGGGGGAAGAGCUCAUUCGAUUAGCUUCUUCUAUCCCAUACAUUCUGACGCCACAACUUCCCGCGUCUUGCUCCCGUCCCGCCAGAUCCCAUAGGAUGGUAGUGGGUCAUCAUUUAGAGAAACAUUUUUAUAAAAAAUUGCUUUUUAUAUUUCUUCACUCUCCAACAACUUUCUAUCUCUCAAGCACUCAAGAAUCAUUCUCGUCUUCUAUUUUUAGCUAGUGAAAAUUUCAAAAUAUAAGAUAGCUAUAUUUGUAUAAUCAUUUAGACAAGCUCUUGAAAGGUAACUUUUCACCAAAAUCUCAUCUCUACUAUAAUAGACAAUUUGAAAUUAUAUUAUGUUCACUCAGUAAAAUGUCUCCCGCUGAGAGCCUCUAACUAUUGUGUAUCCAAAAAAAUAUACACAUGAAUUCAUCUCUAUUAGAAUCAAGGGUUAAUAAGAUACUCCCUCCCUCCCAAAUUAUAAGUCAUUCUAAAAAUCUUGGAGAGUCAAAGUUUUUCAAGUUUAACUAAAUUUAUAUAGCAAAAUAAUAAUAUUUUUUAUAGUGUACCUAUUUUAUGACAUCAAUCUUUAUAUUUCUCUCUAUAUUUUUGAUGAAACUUGAAAAUGUUUUGACUCUUCAAGAUUCUUAGAAUGACCUAUAAUUUGGAACGAAUGGAGUACUAAAAUCAGGCUUCGCCCCCCCCCCCCCCCCCCCCCGCGCGCCCUCCAUCCCACGCCUGCAACAUCUAGCCACGGUUCGAUUCCUAUUCCCUUCUGUAUUUGGGCCUUGUUUAGAUGUGAAUUUUUUUUGGAUUUCGCUACUGUAGCACUUUUGUUUGUUUGUGGUAAAUAUUGUCCAAUCAUAGAUUAACUAGAGUCAAAAGAUUCGUCUCACGAUUUACAGACAAACUGUGUAAUUAAUUUUUGUUUUCGUCUAUAUUUAGUGUUUCAUGCAUGUGCCGCAAGAUUCGAUGUGACGAGGAAUCUUGAAAACUUUUUGGAUUUCAGUGAGAACUAAACAAGGCCUUGUUUUCAUGGUUGGUUGGGGCGCGACACUGGACGCGGCGGCGACGGCAGUGGCAGGGCGCCGGCCGCCAGACGCCAGGGCAAGGCCUUUGAACCCCACUCGCGCUCACAGUCUGUACGGCCCUGCUGCCCUAGGACCGCGCCUUCGUCCCUGUCGCGUGUGAGCAUCAGGGUUCAAGGUCAGGUGGCGCUGGCAUCAUCGUUUCCAGGCCUCGCCUCUCCCGAUCCUCACCGUCUCCAGUUCCCGCGGCCCAUGAUCGCGCCUACAUCCCCUUCUCCUAGGCUCGUGAGGACAGCGGUCUUAAGUCCCUAUCUCCACGAUCUGCUGCUUGCUCGGAGUAGAUGCCUCCACGCCGGCGCUGAGGACUUCAUCGUGAGAAGCCUCUCCAGAGCAAGGACAUGCAGCGCCUCUGGAACUGCUCCACUGCCACGAGGCCGUUGUGGCCAAGCGGAAUAACAAGUCGCUGGUGCCGCCGCUGUCAUCGUCGGCGCCACGGCGGGACAACGAGCGAACCUCGUCGAAGUUGCCAUGGUACGUACCUUGCGCCGGCUACCACAACUCGCCCUCGGACAGGAAGGUUAAUUUUUUCCUUGUUUCUCUAAUCGAGUUUGUCUCUGUUCCUUCUGCGUGAGGUGCUGUAGUCGUCGAGCUUGGAGCUCUCGCAGUGCUGGUGUAUGUGUAUAUGGCGUGCUAUGCCAGGUCGAGCUCCUGCACAGAUGGUCAUCGGGCAGCCGCUGCUCGCUUAGCUCUUGUGUGGUGAAGUGAUGAAUAGAAAUGAUUUCCUACUAGAAUUAGGUAGGGGAUUUGCUUCGGUGAAUUAGUGCUAGAGCUCUUAGUGGCUAUUAGGAUUUGUUAUUUUACUAUCAACCUUGCUUAAGUGUUUGUGCACUUUGUAGCAAAUUUUUAUUCGACCAUCGAAGAAAAUUAGCUAUGUGAGUAACACUUUGGCCACAACUACAGCUACACCAGUACAGUGCUUCGUGAGUAGCCACACUACAGCUGUAUCCAAACACCCCAGAACAUCAUAGAUAAUUCGCUACUGCGCUUUCUUGUAGAUUCUUUUUCACUUUUCAAACCUUUAUAAGAUCUAUAUAAAACAAACCUUUUUUAUAGUCUAUAAAAGAAAUAAAAAGGAUAAAAAAAAUAAAAGAAGAAGAAAGGCCACAUAAAAUUAAAAAGAAAGGGGAAGCAAAUGAAAACAAAAUAAAACAAGCAAUUCUUCUAAUGGGUCUAGUUCUGUUUGGAUGGCAUCUACAGGUGGCCACAUCCGGCACGUGCCACAGCAUCUUCAACCGUUCGAUGACUUUUUCUAAGUGGCUAAAAAAAAUUAGGAGUAUAUUUAUUGGCUUCCUCCAUAGUUUCUAAAAUCCUGGUCCUAAAAUAUAAAUAACAACUUUGCAUUAGGAAUCCCAGGCUAUUUCUGAAUCACCCUAACCACUUAUAUUUUUCUCUCUUAUACAUUUAUUAAGAACAAUGUCCUACUUUUUAUUUUUCCCACGUCUUUCCACCUUCAAACUGACCGAUUAAUCAGCGCAUAUAUACGUACGCAAUUAGAUGGACUUUUCCCAAGUGCUAAAAGAUUGAUAGUGGAGACUAAAACACACUUAGGAAGCGUUUGGCUAGAAGACAAUGUAGAGUAGAAUGGUCUUGCCUCCGGUUUGUAGCACGAGACAAACAACCCAUUUUCUAUUUGGUUGAGGAAGGAUGAGACAUACCUAUUUUCUGUUUGGUAUAGAUACAACAAAAAGUGGGACUAGCAACUGACAGGUGGAGCUUAUUUGUAAGUUACUUUAAUUUUCUUUUGUCAUCCUUCUAUCCUUAUCUCCUUUGUCCCCAACCACCGUCCAACACCAUUUAGACCUCAUACGAGCAGGAGUGCAACGACAAAGCUCCCUCACUCGGUCCAUCCGUGUGUGUCUCCUCAUGCUCGCCCUGCCCGCACACGGCUCCUCGCGCCGCCAACUCCCGUGAGUGACCCCUCGCGUCGUUGCCCACCGCCGACCAGAGCCCUCAUACUCACCCUUGCCCCGUACGCGGCCAUGCCCUAGAGCCCUGUGCUCGGUUCUCCUCUUCCUCCUUUGCUCAUGCGCUCGCAGGGCUAGACUUGGAGGUCACGCAGCGGCAGCAGGCAAGACCUGGAGCUUGCGCGACGCUCUUCUUCCUCAAUAGCAGCCCCUCCCUUCUCUUCUUCCUCUGACCACACACGCAUACACUUGAGUGUUGAGUCCAACGAUUGUCCCUCUUCUUUUUCGAGAGCACACUCGAGGGCGUGUAUUUUAUUAGGAAAGAGUACAACCAACUAGGUUACCAGCACCUACUAGCUACUGGAAUAACCGCUGACGCACUACAAGGUCACACCCUCUUCACGUGACUCUGUCCGCCCAAUUUCUAGGGGUAGGUCGUCAUCCCGAAUUAGAUGGAAUAUACUCUAGUGAGAUCGUCCCACCCCUCCUUGAUUCCAGCAUCAAAAGAGAGAUCAUCCCAUCCCAUCUCACCUCAUCCCAGCACUAAACAAACGGCACCUUAAGAGGCUUCGUAAACAAAGAACUUAAAUAUAUACGGUUAUUGACUUAGGAUAAAGUUAAAAUAACACUAUUUUUCGAAUGUGUCAAUACAAUGCUACGGUUGAUAGAAGUGUCCUGGCACGAGCAAUGGCAAUAUAUACACAUGCAUCUAGCUCUCCUCUAGCAGUGUCACCGCACGAAGCACAUCAUCCACUCUACAGAACGGCGUCGGCGGGGGUUAAGCAUCCGUACACUGGGAUCGCAUGGAAGAAUACGGCCACCGGUGCUACUGGCACCGCCAAGAAUACAGCAGUAGCAGGCGGAGGGAACACCUGGAUCCUCUGCUGCCCUGCGCUAUCUGCUUGGGCAACACAAGUCGCACCACGUGCUGUGUAUUCCGUCGUCGCAGAGGCAGAGCUCUGUGCCGCCGCAAUCGCUGCCAGUGCGUCGAAUCCGCUAUCAUGUUGUCCCGUCGAAGCAAACGACGGUGAUGCCACUGACGAAGAGGCGGCAGAGGCAGCGUUCCCCGUAGCCGAGCGCUGCGCAGCCGCGAUUUCUGCAAGGGCUUCGAAUCCACUGUCAACUUGGGUUGCCGAGCCUUCGUCACUUGACAAUGUCAUCGAUGAAGCCGGCGUGAAAGUGGAAAGCGCCAUGGCGCUCUGCGCCCUUGGGAGGUUGAACGCCACACCGCGUCGUCCUUGCUUCGAAGUCUCCAGCAGCGACGGCGACGACGCUGGCCGUGGGAUGCCAUCCGGCGGUGUGAGCCGCGGUGGUGCGUUGAUGGGGUAGAGGAAUGCCCGGACGCGGCCGUCCCUGGAGGCCAGGCCAUUGCAGCAGUAGAGGCGCGUCACGAGUACCCACAGAUCGUGGUCGUCCGCCACGUCGUGGAGCGUGUCCAGUCCGCCGUCGCCACCGGGGCCGGCAACCGCGUAUUGGAUGUGAACGUCGGAGUAGCCCGCCAGCGCUGCCAACCGUGCGCGAAGCUCGCUCAGGCGCUCAGACAUGCCGACCCGGACGAUCCGGUUCUCGCCACCGGCGUACCUCGUCUUGCCGGUGUCGGAGCAGCUCAUGAUCUCCCCGCCGUAGCUGACGACCAUCUUCACCGAGGAGCUGCCGUCGGCAGCCAUGUCCAGUACCAUCGGAGGCCCGACUCGUCGCGAGUGGUACGUCUUGCUAUUCGAGGAUCAAGGAAGAUAGGGGAAGUUUGUUGUUGGUCGAUGUCCUUCUUACGUUCGUCAGUUCGUGGACCGACUAAUCCUUUUAUAGCAAGCGGUUACGAUUCCGAGUAGCACGCGGAGGACUACAGCGUGCACGAGUCACUUACCGGAGAGCGACAAAGUUUAGGAUUGCUAAUCAUAUCUUGAGUCGGAGAUAAUCAGAUUCAGCCGGAGAUAUAUACUCGGUGAAAACGAUACUCUUGUUGCCUGCCGAACAAUUUCCGAAUUAAUCGAACAAAAACCAACAGUGAUCUAAGAAAUCGAGAUUGGAAGUGGGUUUAGAAACUCUUGGAGCUGAGCAACUCUAGCGGAUUAGCUAUUCUUAUUGUGGAGACUUUUCUAGAAUUUAUAUAGCAAAAAUUAGCUCCAACAGAUGUGUUAUAUAAUUUUGUAAAAUAGAAAACUAGUUAUCUCUUGAUUUUCGGUGGCCAUAUAUAGCCAACCACAGACACUGACUACAUGACUUUGUAAAAAUAGCAAAAGUUGUAAAUCUCUUCUCUUUUUUGAGAAGUUUUCUAUUUUAUAAAAUGACUAAAUAUUUGGCAAUUAAUUUUAGCUAAGCUAUUAAGUUGCUCUAGGCAAUUAUUUUCCGGUCAGAUUUGUGGCAUGCCAAACUUAUGAAGUUGUUCCUUUAAUUUAUUUUGAUGCCAUUUCUCGCAAAAAAAAAUAGCGUUGAAAAACAACGCUACAUCACUUCGGGCAUCACCAGAGUCUUUUUUUUUUAAAAAAAAAAAAGCAAAGCCACCAAAGGCGCCUGGGUGUGGCUACCUCUGGAAACGAAGCAAACCAGGCCUAAAGCACGCAUUUAAAUGGGCCUUCAAACUGGCCAUAUAAUUGCUUGGCCGAGAUAAAUCGACUAGUGGGCCGAUCGAAUUAGGCAUUGUUUAAUUCACACCAAAAAUAAAAAAAAUUAAAAUUUUUCGUAACAUCGAAUCUUACACCAUAAACAUAAAACAUUAAAUAUAGUUAAAAAUAAAAACUAAUUACAUAGUUUACCUGUAAAUUACGAGAUAAAUCGUCUAAGUCUAGUUAGUUCAUGAUUGGACAAUAAUUAUCAAAUAAAAACAAAAAUACUAUAUUACCCAAAACUAAUUUUUUUUUUAAAAACUAAACAAGGUCUUAAUGUGGAGGAUCAGAAGAAAGAGGAGGUGGCGGGUGGUGACUAGUUGGCGCUGUUAGAGGAACUCCAACACUACCCUAAACUUCACUUGGCAAAUCUUGGAUUUUGCCAAGUGUAAAGCUCAAAUGCCAAGUGAAAAAAAGAGGCUUCUCCAACAGUUAGCUAUUUUUUUGACAAAUUUGGACUAUCUUGUGAUUCCUGAAAAAAUCAGAUGGACUUUUAUACAAAAGUUGCAAUCUAUUUAAGGCAUGCGUGCAUACUGAAUGUGUUGGUCCCACCGCGUAGGCAGGAUGCCAAGCGCUCCCAACGCUCCUAAAUUUGAGCCAGUUGGCUCUCUUUUUGCCAAGCAUACUAUUUUGCCAAGUGCAUAUAGGAUAGUGUUGGAGGAGCUUUUUCCAUGUUUUGCCAAAAAUUAGGAUUUGCCAAGUAUAUAUAUAUAUAUAUAAUAGUGUUGGAGUUUGCUCUUAGCUGUACUCGGGAAGAUCGGUGGGAUCGGACGCGGUGGCUUGGGCGCCGGGGUCGCAAUCUCAUCUCUCCAUUCAGCCGGCGUCCGCCAGCACCGGUGGCAGCGAGCGCACCGUAUAUGAUCUAUAUAACUUUAUAAUUUUAUAUAACUUUAUAAUUUUAUAGUUGAAAAGUUUUUAAUUACUAUAGUUUAGAGUCCCAAAAAUUAAUCUAAGUUGACAGAUUUUGAAAUGAAAUUUAUUGUUUUUCAAACAACCUCGGAUGUUAAUAUGAUUUGUAUCAAAGUUAUAGAUAUCAAUACGUUCUACAACUUUGUAGUAGAAAACCUUUUAGUUUAAAGCCAUUUAGAGUUCCAAAUAUGUGUAAUACGUUUAAAAAUUAAAUUAAAAAAUUCUUAAACAACCUUAAAUGUUCUCACGGUUAAUACCAAACUUGUAGUGACCGGCUUGAUCUACAUGUUUUCUACUGAUUAGUUUUGAUUUGAUGUUUUUUUUGCCUCAAAUACUUGUUUUAAAUUCAUAUAUCUUGAGAUUUAAUUUUUGAAAAAUUUCAAUGUCUCGCAUGGAGACACAUCAUUCAACAAGGUUGUAGUGCUUGACAAGAUUGAAAACUUAAAUUUUUUCAUUUAAGUUUAUUUAGUAGCCAAAAUAUUUAAUAUAAAAUUAGAAAAUAUUUAUAUCAAAAAAUAGAAUCCUAUAUAUACUGACAAUCAUUGGCAUGAAUGUUGGGUUGUAGGCCACGUGACUUUAGUCCUAGCUAGGAAUGCCAUAUUUUUUGGUUUUUGCGUUUUACGGGAACCACUAACGGAUAGGGGUUAAUCAAUUUUCAGAGACAACUACUUUUACCGUCUCUAUAAAUGACGCAGUGACAUUUGGAUGGAGGGAAUAACAACCUCCCAGUCUCUGUAAAUUUCUGCAACGUUGCAAUGGGUUGACUAGGCACCUUAAUGGAUUGGAACUCACCACAAGUGCUGCUAGGCUUGCUUGAGAGAACACAUAUACUCCGUAUAAUUUAGUUUGUUCUCAUCAAACUAUUUCAGAUUUAACAAAACUAUUGAAAAAAAUGUCAAUAUUAUUUAUGAUACUAAGUAUAGAUAUAUCAUAAAAAAUAUAUUAUAGGGUGAAUCCAAAUAAUUAUUUGGCAUUUUUUAGAUUACAAAUUAUUUGGCAUCUAGACAUUAACAAUUCUAUGUACGAAUUUACCCAAACUUAAAAUGUUUUAUUUAUAUGAUAAAAGUAUAAUUGUAUAUUUUUAUAGAACAGAUUAGUAGUAGUUCUUUAAAGAAAAAAAGUAGUAGUGUUUUUCUAGUUCUAGGCCGACUCUUUGUGGGGGCCAAGGAAUAUCUAGAGGUUCGGCCCAGCCCAAUAGCCCACUUGUUUCUCCUCCGUCAGACCGUUGAGUGCACGUCGAUCUACAAUUUGGAGCCUGUCGCCCAGCGCCAUCGUCGUACUUCGGCCAGGUCGCCGGCGCUAAGAGGGCGGCAGGGCGCCAAAUCGAGUGAACAGCCGGCCGCCGGCGCUCUUGCGAACGAUACCGCGACGGUGAGCCCGCACGCGCACGACCGCACCACCGGUUUUUGACUUCUCCAUGCAUCCAGGGAUUCAGUCCUGUCCUGUGCCAUCAAUCAGCAUCCGCCGGAGGUGAGAAGUGACUGGCAUUACGUGAGUUGAAAUUCUAGGUCCGCCGCUGAAUUCUUAGUCAACAAAUACGCAUCAGUCCGUCAAAUACGCUACGCUAGCUAGGACGUACGUGCUAUACCUGACUAGCAAUGCCUCUUUUGUAUGGUGUGCAACAACCCUGGCCCCUGGACGUGCUAUACCUAGCUAGCCAGGCAAAGUCAUCAAUCAAAUACCAUGAUGUUGCAUCAGUUAUCUCUCACGUUGGAAUAGUAAGUAGAGCUGCACUUGAUAAGGAUGCUCGUAUAUAUAUAGUCAUAUACUCCUAUGUGACGAUUAAGUCCUUAGUAACGAUGGCAACUGGUGACAUGGUCAGUCUUCUGUCUCUUGGACAGUCCGACGAAUUCUUAGGUCUCAGUCUCACACCGCGUGGCCCGAAGUUGUUUGGCAAUUAUUAGGAGCCAAGAAGAUCAUCGAGGUUAGAAACUCUCUAACAUUUCGGUACAAAAACUAAUCUUGAUUUUUUUUCUAUAAGACUAGAAAAGCCUAUCUCCAAUGAUUUUCAAUUUUAACUCUCCAUCUGUCCGUACUUAGAAAACAAAAGAAGGCAUCCAUAUGCGCAUGACUGCUACUCCUAUGGGGCAUUUUUUUUCAUGGGCACUCUGACCGUGGCUUCCUAGAAGUUCACUAGAAUUGAAUCUAUGGUCACUAUUUUCACAUAUGAGAAAACUAAGAAAUAGAACAAGCAAAAGAGAUUUUCAUGGGGCUGGGGUCGUCGAUGGCGGAGACGGCCUCCAGGGUGCAUGGAGGCGGUGACAUCUGCCCUCGGUGGCGCACGAACUGUGGAGACACGGGCGGUGUUGGCUAAGCGCCAUGGCCCGCAUGAGGGGGAGGAGUGGACGGGGUGACACGUGGGGCAGGAGGGGGUUGAGGGCAUGCAGGGCAGGUCACAAGAACCUCCUUUGGCGUCGGUGGCGGUGUGGCCAACGAUGGGGAGGAGGCCAAAUGGGGGUGACACGCGGUGGGGAGGGGGAGGGUGCCGGUGCUGAUGGCAGCGACGAGGAGGUGGCGGACACUAGGGAUUAGGGUUGCGAGGCUUUCUCUCACAUUCUCUCUCUCUCUCUCUCUCUCUCUCUCUUACCCGGCUGUCAUUCUAGCUUAAAUCAUCAUUGGAGAGUAGUUUGAAUUAAAACCGGUUUCUAUAUCAUAUAUUUCCACUCUUCAACAUCUUUUUUAUAUCUUAUGCGCAUUCUAGAGAGCCAUCUUCGCUCUUUAUCUUUGGCUAGUGAGAAAUUCAAAAUAGAUGGUGAGUAUAUUUAGAUAUCCAAAUAAACAAGUAUCUUGAAGUUGCUGUAACAAGUACCAAACAUACGUUGCACGUCACGAGGUAGCGCUUUCCCAUUAUUCAUAGCAGCUGGACCUCGAUCGUGGACUCUGAGUUCAUGAAAUUCCAGUCAUAACUGCUGAUUCAGUCAGUCAGCGCGUCUACUUAUAAUGUGGAAACAUGAUGACAUAAUGCGCACGUUUUUUAAAUUCUACAAUCCAAAUCUUCUUACUUACUAGUAGCAUCUUGUGAGACCCUCUUGUGCAAGGACAAGGAGUAUCACUGGUCAUGGCGGCAGCAACAAUCAAAUUUCUCUACCGUCUUGCUCUGGUACUCUCCGUGCUCCUUACCUCCGCCGCCGGCAUUGUGUCUAACACAACGCUCGUCAACAAUGGCGCCAACAUCACCGAUGGCGAGACGAUGGUAUCUGACGGUGGCUCAUUCACGCUGGGGUUCUUCGCCCCGACCGGGGCGCCAACCAAGAGAUACCUCGGAAUCUGGUUCACCGCGUCCCCGGAGGCUGUCUGCUGGGUGGCCAACCGUGAUAGACCACUCAACGACACCUCCGGCGUACUGGUGUUCGGCAGCGCUCGGGGCCUUCUCCUUCUCGACGGCUCUGGCCAGACCGCGUGGUCUUCCAACACGACGGCCACCUCUGCGCCUGCGGUGACCCAGCUGCUUGAGUCAGGCAACCUGGUCGUGGGCGAGCAGAGCAGCGGCAGCAUCCUCUGGCAAUCGUUCGACCAUCCGUCGAACACCUUGCUCCCCGGCAUGAGGCUCGGCAAGAACCCACAGACCGGAGACGAGUGGUCUCUCACGUCGUGGCGUGCGCCAAACGAUCCGAGUCCAGGGGACCAUCACCUGGUACUGGACACCCAGGCCCUGCCGGCGGCGAUCGUCUUGUGGCAAGGCAACGUCAAGACGUACACGACGGGCCCUUGGAACGGCCUGAGGUUCAGCGGCAUCCCGGAGAUAGCUUCGUACUCCGGGAUGUUAUCGGUCCAGGUUGUUGUCCGCCCCGACGAGGUGGCCUACAUCGUCACCACCAUGCCCGACGCGCCCUUCUCACGCCUCGUAGUGAACGACGACGGAACGGUGGAGCGUCUGGCGUGGGAGCCGGUCAGCCGGACCUGGAACGUCUGGAUGCGGUCGCCAAGGGACCUCUGCGACAGCUACGCCAAGUGCGGCGCGUUCGGCCUGUGCAACUCGGCCACCGCGUCGACGCAGUUCUGCAGCUGCAUAGACGGGUUCAGCCCCGCAUCUCCGUCACAGUGGUACAUGAGGGAGACCUCCGAUGGUUGCCGUCGGCGCACGCCGCUGGACUGCAGCAACGGGACGACGACGGAUGGGUUCAUGGUGUUGGGAGGAGUGAAACUCCCUGACACGGACAACGCGACGGUGGACAUGAGCGCGACGCUGGAGCAGUGCAGGGCGAGGUGCCUUGCCAACUGCUCCUGCGUGGCCUACGCCGCCGCCGACAUCCGAGGAGGCGGUGAUGGCAGUGGCUGCGUCAUGUGGACGGAUGGCGUCGUGGACGUUCGUUACGUGGACAAAGGGCAGGAUCUCUAUGUGAGGCUGGCAAAAUCUGAAUUUGGUAAGCAGAAAACUGCACCCGUUACUAUGCUAUGCUAUCCAUCCCACUCUAGAUUUACACAUUCUUCAUCUUGUCAACUACGUACGAUUUAAUAUUCUUUGUAACACAUUUCUGCAGCUGCAGGGAAGAGGAGGGAUGUGGCAAGAAUCGUGCUUCCAGUAACGGUAUCUCUGCUUGCACUCACGUCUGCGGCCAUGUACCUUGUUUGGAUAUGCAGGGUUAGAGGUAGAGCCACUCGAUUGGCAUUCCUUCAAGCGGCCGAACGUCCAAACAGUGAUGAAGCGAUGAUAGGUUCCUUAAGCGCGCCAAAUGACCUUGGUGAUGAUGAUUUUGAUCUUCCAUUUGUUAGCUUUGGAGAUAUUGUUUCUGCAACUAACAAUUUUUCUGAGCACAAUAAGCUCGGACAAGGAGGGUUCGGGAAGGUUUAUAAGGUAACCACAGUAAAAUUUCUACAAAACUACAGUACUAAGAAACUUUAUCAUUGUUUGUUGAGUAUAAGAACGACAAAAUCAUGCAGGGCAUGCUGGACGAUAACAAAGAAGUUGCAAUUAAGAGGCUUGGUAAGGGUUCUAGACAAGGAGCAGAGGAAUUCAGAAAUGAAGUGCUUCUAAUAGCCAAAUUGCAGCACAGAAACCUGGUAAGACUUCUUGGUUACUGCAUCCAUGGAGACGAGAAGCUGCUGGUUUACGAGUAUUUACCAAACAAAAGCUUGGAUUCCUUCAUUUUUGGUAUGUUUAGACUAAAUUGCAUUUAGCAAGUGUAGACAAAUAGUCAUAGUUACCACUUAAUUGCCACUGGAAUUUUCUUGCUUACUCACAAUACUGUACAGAUGCUGCCGGUAAACAUGUUGUUGAUUGGCCAACAAGGUUCAAGAUAAUCAAAGGAGUAUCUAGAGGAAUUCUUUAUCUCCAUCAGGAUUCGAGGUUGACUGUAAUUCACAGAGAUCUAAAGUCAAGCAACAUACUGUUAGAUACAGAUAUGAGUCCUAAGAUAUCGGAUUUUGGUAUGGCACGAAUCUUCAGUGGAAAUGGACAAGAAGAAAAUACUAAUCGAGUUGUUGGGACGUAGUGAGUAAUUAAUAUGCAUUGAUGUUUGAAACUAAUUUUUAUUUUUCAGUAUCUAUCCUAAUUAUUUAUUACUUAGCGCUAUGAUUUUUAUGCAUAACAGUGGUUACAUGUCUCCUGAAUAUGCCAUGGAUGGCAUCUUUUCUAUCAAGUCUGAUACAUAUAGCUUUGGUGUCAUACUCUUGGAGAUUAUAAGUGGUUUGAGCAUCACUGCAACUCGAUUCACCGGCUUUCCUAACUUAUUAGCUUACGUAAGUAUGCUAACAUUCGUGAAUUUGUUAAGGUAAUUAAAAAAGAAAACGUUUUUGUUAUAAUAAAAUUAUAUAAUAUCUUAUAUGCGAUUGAUUCCAUUUGGUUUAGGCAUGGAGCUUAUGGCAAGAUGAUAAGGCAAUUGAUAUGGUGGAUUCAGCCCUUUCAGGGACUUGUUCGCCAAAUGAAGUUUUACGGUGCAUCCAAAUAGGACUCUUGUGUGUGCAAGACAAUCCAUACAAUAGACCUCUUAUGUCAUCGGUUGUGUUCAUGUUGGAAAAUGAAACCACACCACUCUCGGUCCCAAUACAACCCAUGUAUUUCUCACAAAGGUAUUUAGAUGACCACGGAAUAGGAGAAAAUAGUAUCAGCUCUUCUGUGAAUGACAUGAGUGUCACGGUGUUGGAGGGACGGUAGAUGGUUAAUUUGUUACACAUGAAUGCUAGUAUGUGUAAAUCACCUUUUUCUUACAUAAUAGAUGCAUGAUUUCUUUGUUAUUUUUUUGCGAUAGGAUAUGUGUAUCUUGUGUAUGAGCUUGUACAAUAUUUUGGUCGAUAGUUACAUUAAAUCAGCGCCAUGGAUAGAGCAGGUGGCAUUUAUGGCUUUUUGGAAGCCUGGUUUUCGAGCCCAAAACUAGCGUAAAAUACAAGCCCAGUGAUUUUCCAGACCUCAUUGAAAAAGGGUCAGUUUGGAUGCCCUCCGAAACUAAAUAAUAUACUAUAUGCUUACAUUUAGGGUUUGUUUGAUUAUAAUACUAAAUUUUAGCUGACUAAAUUUUAAUCAUUUUAGUAACUAAACUUUCAAAUACAAUAACUAAAAAAACUAAAAUAAUUUUAGCUAACUAAAAUUUAGCAAAGAACGCCAAACAAGCCCUAAAUAUAUAGUCCCGCGUGUCACUGAACCUGCGGGACUCCGUCGUUUUCCAAUUUGCACAGCCGAGGCCCGUGUCUCCUGUCGUGUCUCAUGGGCAUCACGGCAGAGCUGGGCUGUAAGUACCAAGGCCUGCUGUAGUUCCCGAUCGACUGGGCCUCUCCAAAAGAGGAGGAGGAGGAGGUCCUAGGCCCAUCCAAUUGGGCGUGUCCUUCCGAGGAUAAGCGGCACCCGCCGGUGCUAUUGUGCUGUGCCGGCGAGGCGCCGCAACGGAGCCUGUGCCGGUGUGCCACUGUGCCCUGCGGUCGGGGCGAACGGCGAAGUGCGGACUGCGGAGGCUGUGAGAGCUGAGGCGGAGGAGCCGUAACCACGCUGCCCUUCUUCCUAUCGUAGCAGUACGGCUCCUUGGUGCCUCGCGCCGCCGUAGUUCAAUUCGGCACCCGUGUCCGAUCCCAUGGCCGCGGUUUUCGCCAGGUAGUCUCUGCUCUCGCUUCUAAUUCUAGUUCCGUGGGGUCCAUCCAUCGAUGAAUAUGAGGUACUGCACUGAAAGAUUUUUUUUUUUUGAGCAAAACUGCACUGAAAGAUUAGGCAGCCUUCACCUUUUGGCAUUAGAGCAACUGAAGAUUAAAGCAAUUGCAUGUGAAAUUUGAUUGCAUUCUUUGUUAUGACACUUGACCAUAUAAUUCUCAAAUUCCUGUAUGUUAUCUGCAUUUUUUUCCCAAGCUGCAAGCUAAUUCAGUGUGUUCAGUACAGUAAGCUCACAUAUAUCCCUUUGGAAGACUGUAAUUUCACAUAUAUUACGACUGGCUAUGCUGCUGAAAUUCAGUUAAGCCCACAGGCGUACAUGGUUAAUCAAAGACUUGAACAUUUACAUAGUAUAAAUUCCGGUGUGAACAUCUAGCGGCCCUCUAGUGUCGUGAUAGACGAUGUAUUCAGAAAGCCUUCUAUGUUUCUCCUUGUUUCUUCAGUUUCAUUAUUCCUUGGUGAAAAAUAUACAGGCUCCUUUGGUGCUGGAAGCAAUAUGGUUUCAUUCUCCAACAUAAACACAACUGAUGACAUGAGUGGCCUUGCAUUUGGAUUGUCUUGGAUACACAAAAGUCCUACAUGAAUACACCUAAAAACUUCAUGGACUGGACAACUUUCAGCAACCGAUGAGUCCACCAAUUUCGCCGCAUUUCCCUCUUCCCACAAUUUCCAUGUCUGGAAAAUUAUAAUUUUUUUUCUAUCAAAUUGAUAGAUUUUUUGUUUAUGUUUAUUGAAAACUGGAGUAUUCCACACUACUUACAUAAGCUAUAAGGUUUGGGAAGUCCAUUAUGAGCUGAGUUGAGAUGAUCUUCAAACCACUUACAAUCUCCAAGAGAAGAACGCCAAAGCUAUAUGUGUCUGAUUUGACAGAAAAGGCACCACUUGUCACAUAUUCAGGAGACAUGUAACCACUGUUUAAACAAAUUGAACAACGGAAGAAUUUGAGUUAGACUAAACUAUUAUAGUUGCAUUAUUUAGAAUUGACUAGUAAAUGAAUUACUCACUAUGUCCCAACAACACGGGUAGUGUUUGCUAGUUGCUGGUUUCCCACAAAGAUUCUUGCCAUACCAAAAUCCGAUAUUUUGGGACUCAUUUCUGUGUCUAACAAGAUGUUACUUGCUUUAAGAUCUCUAUGAAUUAUUGUUAAUCUUGAAUCUUGGUGGAGAUAUAGAAGCCCUCUGGCUAUGCCUUUGAUUAUGUUGAACCGUGUUGGCCAAUCAAGCACAUGCUUUCUUGAAGUAUCUGCCAACAAGUAGUAUUUAACAAAACCUAUUGUUAAUCAUCAGCAGUAUCCUUUUUGUCAAUGUAAGAACUGCAAUAUGCAAUAGAGUCAGUGCAUACCGAACAGGAAGGCAUCCAGGCUUUUGUUAGGCAAGUAUUCAUAGAUCAGUAACUUCUCUUCUUCAUGAAUACAGCAACCAAGUAGUCUAACUAGGUUCCUGUGCUGUAGUUUGACAAGUAGAACUACCUCGUUUCUGAAUUCAUCAAUACCCUGCCCAGAACCUUGACAAAGUCUUUUGACAGCAACUUCCUUCCCACCUUCUAGCAUUCCCUGCAUGAAUGCAUUCUUCUAAGUUGGAGAAUGAUGAAAGUACAAUUUUUUCUUAUGUUUUAACGAUUCUUUUAACGCAUAUUAUCCUAUAACUAUUAAUGUGAAAAUUUGCCGUUACCUUGUAAACUUUGCCAAAGCCUCCUCUUCCAAGCAUAUUGCAGUCAGAGAAAUUGUCAGUUGCCGCAACAAUGUCUUUGAAACUAACAAAUGGAAAUUCUUCAUUUUUGUCUCCAAGUUCAUUCGAGGUGCUCAAGUAUCUUAGCAUUAGUUUCUUCUGAAUCUCCCUUUUCCUCCAUAUCCCUGCUGGUUGGGAGUGGGACAUUGGUAUCUUUUUCUUAAAACUUGUACAGUAAUAAUACUACAUGUUGAAGCAAGGCACUUAUUGUUGUACCUUUGAAUUUGCAUAGGCAGACAAGGGCUAUGCAUGUGGGUAGCAGCAGGCAUGCUAUAACCGGGACUACAAUCUUUACUAUAUUGGUCUUGAUUUUAACUGCCAAAGUAGAACUGUUAGUAUGUACUGACUCAUUAAUUAACUAGAAGAGCUACUAUAUCUCUUGUUGUUUGUUUUUAGUUUCUGAAGCCAUUUCAUUAACUGGUGAUAAAUGAAGGAAACAGAACCAAUCGAGGUAGGGAAAACAGAGCCCAUCAUCACCCUACUGGGGGAGUUGCAAUGGGGUGGCUGGAGAUGCUCUAUUGCCGUUCAGUUUUAUUAUACUUAUUGCUUGUGUUCUUUAAAUCACAUUAGUGAAAAUCUAUUUUGAGUGGACAUUUCUCACUAUGGUGUAUCUUCUGCUUCAUUGCUAGAUGGAAAUCUCUGCCAUCAUUGGAUAAACUGAUCCUCUGAUCAACAAAUCUGAACAACAGAUGAUGAAACGGUGCGUACCAGGAGGGUCGGCAAGCCGGAUGUACAGCUUCUCACCAUAGUUGAUGCUUUUCCAUGUGUCGACAAGAUCCCCAGUCCAAACCAAGCACCUUGACUGGUCGACCAUGGCACCGCUGCUGCUCAAGUUUGCGUAAGCAUAGGCAGUGCACGAGCAGUUAGUGCUGCACUCAGCCGCGCACUGCUCAAAGCUUCUGUUCCGGAGGAGCACGAACUUGUCAGGAACUCUCAUCCCGGUCAAGGCCACGAAGUGACUUCCCUUGCUGCACUGCAACUGCAGAGGCUCCAUCCUCCGGCAUCCUGUCGAAGAGUUCAUCCCGACGGCGACGGGCUCAAAGCCCUCGAGGCACUGGCACGCCGGGGCAGCUCCGGUGAAGUCGCAGUAGCCGUUGGGGCCACACGAACCGUAGAGGCCGUAGCCACCGGUGGGGCGCUCGGAGAUGACCGUCCACGCCGACGAGUUGGUGUCCCAGCUGAGGAGCUUCAUCGUGCCGGUGUGGUCGAGCAUGAUCCGGAAGUACGGCGAGCCGUCGGAGACGGUGUACACGAGGUAGAACUCGUCGCCGGUGUUGACAAUGGUCUGGUACACCAUCGAGCUAGGGGAGCUCGCGUACAUGCCGCCUGACACCGACACGCCGUUCCACACGCCGAUGCGGCAGUACGGGUCGGCCCCGUGCCAGACCAUCAGCUGGAGGUUGGAGACGGAGUCGAGGCCGAACGAGAAGUCUCCGGUGGACGGGUCGGCGGGGCCUCUCCACGAGACCAGGCGCCCGGCGGCGGCGGCGGGGCGAGCCCUGUGGAUCAUCAGGAACCUCAUGCCUGGGAGAAUGGUGUCAGUCGGGUGAUCGAAGCUCUGCCAGACGACCGUGCCGUUGGACAGCUGGAGUACCAGGUUCCCCGUGUCGAGCAGCACGGCCUGCAGGGCAGUGCCGUUGUCGUGGACGGCGGCGGCGAUGGCGUACUUCUGCGUCCUCCAGAGAGUGUGGCCUUGGGAGUCCGACAGCACGAGGUCAGAGCUGUUGCUGAUGGCGAGCGUCGGGGACGAAGCCGUGGUGGCUGGGCUAUCGCGGUUGGCGACCCACACGACGGUGCGGUUGCGCUCAGGGAUGCCGUGGAACCAGAUCGCAACGUACAGGCUCGUCGUGUUGGAGCCGGAGCCGGACGGGGAGAAGAAGCCGAGUGCAAAGACGCCGCCUUUGGAGAUGAGCAGGUCGCCGGGGUGGAGUGGCCUUGCGCUUGUCAACUGGUCAUCGGAUUUGCAGACACAAAUCAUCAGGAGGAGCUGGAGCAGGAGGAUGAAAAUGGUAAGGCAGGUCGUGCCCAUAUUCUGCCUUCUGUGUUCAUCGAUCGCUGACGAGUCAGGGGCGACGAAAAUGGCACCAAGAUAUAGAUCAGGUUGUGGCACGUGGUGGAGUCAUAACCCGGCCGCGAGUGAACCAAAAUUUGAUGAAAAUGCAAAACGUCAAUGCCGUGUAAUGGUCUAAAAUUAUAAAUUAUUCUAAGAAUCAUUGAGGAGUCAAAGCAUUUUUUAAGUUUGACUAAAAUUAUAGAGAGAAAUACAAAGAUUUGUAAUAUAAAGUGAGUAUACUUAAGGACAAAUCUAAUGAUACUUAGUCAGUAUCAUAAUAAUAAUUAUUUUAUCAUAUAAAUUUGAUCAAACUUAGGAUAGUUUAACAUUCCAAGAUUCUUGGAAUGACUUAUAAUUUGAGGUGGAGGAAGUAUUUAACAAUAGGUUGUUGACAUUGCCCGGCACUUCACAGGACAGAUGUAGAACAAGGCUUUUAUUGUUAGAAGAAAAGAAAAUAAGGCAACGUGGCAUGCAGGGGAUAGACGGACAAAGGUAUGUAUUUCAGAAUCAAAAUAAAAUUGACCAAGCCUAGGAGCAAAUUAGUCCACAUUAUGACUUGGUGGACUAAGGGGAUGUUUGGUUUGUGGCCACAGUCUGCCACGCCUAAACUUAAGGUCGCCACAAGAUCUUUGGCCAGCGUUUGGUUCAGCAUCCAGCUUCGGUAUGCCACAGCCACGGAAUCAUCUCGCCACAAAUUUUCUUCCCAAAAAGUGUGGCGGACGUUUUUGCCGCCGCAGCCCGUCGUGGCGCGCCGCAACCCAAAAAAAAUCACUGCAGUAGAAAUAUCCCGAGGCCCAUCUUGUACUACCUCUGUCUGCUAGAUUUUUUCUUCUAUAUUUUUUAAUUCCAUUAUUUAUGUAUGGACAUUUGACAUUUUUCUGUGAUUAGUAGAAUCCAGUAAAAAAUUUGGCUGGGUUGUACUGAUCCAUGCUUGGCUAGUUGCUGGUUUUAUAAUUACUAUUGUAAUCUGAAUCUCCUAGGCUUAAAUCUUCUAUAUAUGUUAUUCUAUGGAAAAUGGGUGUGAUCUUACUGUGACAAUGAGGUUUUUUUCAUUUAUUUGUGGCCGCAAACCAAACAGAUACCACAACAUUUUGCCAUACUUUUGUGGUAGUAAUCCAAACAGCUGCCACACUUAUUUUGCCAAAUCUUAGUCACUAACCAAACACCCUGUUUUUGCCACAGUUUGUGGCUUGCCACACUUAUGGCUGCUACUUAAGAUUAGGCAUGGCAAUGUGUGGCUGGCAUCCAAACAUGCCCUAAGACACCAAGGAGCCAAGGAGGAAGGAUCUUGCUACGUGGCAACACCCUCCAUUGCGUUGAACUAUGUUGCACGCGCAAAGAAAAACUGCUGCUUACAGCUGCAGUGUUUCGUCGUGCCAAGCAAAAGUGAAACCCGGCUGGCCGGCUCGGCUGCUUCUCUUGGUCAGUUUGGAUUUGAAGAUUUAGAAUAAAAGAGAGCAACCCCUCUCCUUAACAUCUUUGUAAACGAAAUGUAACAAGCUAAGGCCUUGUUUAGUUCGAAAUUUUUUUCAAGAUUUCCCGUCACAUCGAAUCUUUGGUCGCAUGCAUGAAGUAUUAAAUAUAGAUGAAAAUAAAAACUAAUUGCACAGUUCACCUGUAAUUUGUGAGAUGAAUCUUUUGAGUCUAGUUACUCCGUGAUUAGAUAAUGUUUGUCAAAUAAAAACGAAAGUGCUAUAGUAGCUAAAAACCAAAAAUUUUGCAAACUAAACAAGGCCUAAGAUUGCACCCCCCCACCCCACCACCACCACAAAAAACAGCUUUAUUUCCAAAAUAAAGUGUCAUUAUUGUAAGUCAAAUAUUUUUAACUUUCGCCAAAUAUAUGUAAUAAAAUGUGAGUAUUUAUGGUGUAUAAUCAGUAUCAUUAGAUGAAUCAUUUAAUAUAAUUUUAUAAUAAACUUAUUUGAAGAUAUAUAUGUUGCUAAUUGUUUCCCACACAAGUGGGCUCCUACAUGAGUUAACACCUGUAAUUAGCAGGUGCUCAAUGCAACCAUAUAUAUAUUUGUUGCCGCAAAAGCUAAUAUGCAACCCACCUUGUGUCCAUGAGCUAAAAGCACGGAGGGCUAUGUACAAUAUGACGCAAGGCAAAUUUGGCAACACAUUGGUGCACGAAAGAAGCCCACGAUAUUAUAAUGAAAAUGUGAUGAAUGAAGAUCUCGUGAUUUGCCCUCAAAAGGGAAAGGAAAUAGGUAGAGAAAAUACUGGACGAUUGAGAUGGAAGUGGACUCCAAGCGAGGAUUUUGGACUUCAGCCCAUCCCACCGAAGGCCCAUCAGACAAACACAAGCCGCGGCACCCAUGUUCUGUUAAGUAAGAACUUCAAGCCCAUAAUAAUAUCGUAAUGCAUGGUAGGCCAUCCCGAUCCAGAAACGACCAACCUGUUAUAGAUGGUGCGAAAGCCAUCCAAUUUCAUGGCUCCGAUUGCACUUCACCUUAAAUUCAGACUAUAAGUGUCAACUGUUAAUACAGCACAAUAUUUGAGAGCUUAAUUAGAUUCUAAUAUCUACAGUUUCACACAAUAAGGACAUGAAAAAAAAAACAGUGUAGUUAUUAAAAAAACAGCUGCCAAAGAUAUUAAGCAUCUUCGCCAAAAAAAAAGAUAAAAGAAGUCUUACACACUACUAAUGGAUUACAGGACUCCUACAGGAAAUUAUUUACACAUACAAACAUUUCAUAACUUAACCAUCUAGCGCCCCUCUAAUAACACUGUCGUGCUCAUAUUAUUCAUAGAGUUACUAGUGUUUUCUCCUGUUUCCUGGGCUUCAGAAUACCUUUGUGAAAAAAAUACAGGCUGUUUUGGAACUGGAAGUGCGGUAGUUUCAUUCUCCAACAUGAAAACCACUGAUGACAUGAGUGGCCUGCUAUUUGGAUUGUCUUGCACACACAAGAGUCCUAUGUGGAUACACCUGAAGGCUUCAUUUGGUAAACAACUCUUGACAAGGGAUGAAUCCACUAAAUCCAUUGCCUUUCCUUCAUUCCACAAGCUCCAUGCCUAAACCAAUCAAAUCAAUUUCAUAGAACAUUAAUAGAUAUUUCUUCACUGCAUUGUUAAAAUUUCAAGCAAGCCACUGUACUUACAUAAGCUAAUAGAUUUGGGAAAUCUGUGAUGUGGGUUAGACUAAUCUUCGAACCACUUAUAAUCUCCAAGAGUAUGACACCAAAGCUGUAUGUAUCAGACUUGACAGAAAAGGCACCAUCCAUAGCAUAUUCAGGAGACAUGUAACCACUGUUUAAGGAUUGUUAGCAGUAAGUAACAAGCUUAUUAAGUGCAGGAAAACAUAGGGUUAUUUAAAAUCUGAGGCGUGGAUUACUCACUAUGUCCCAACAACCCGAUUAGUAUUUGCUUCGUGCUGGUUUCCUCCAAAGAUUCUUGCCAUACCAAAAUCUGAUAUCUUAGGGCUCAUAUCCGCAUCCAACAAUAUGUUGCUUGGUUUGAGAUCUCUGUGAACUAUCGUCAACCUUGAAUCCUGGUGGAGGUAAAGAAGCCCUCUAGAUAUUCCUUUGAUUAUCUUGAACCUUGUUGGCCAAUCAAGGAGCUUUUUUCUUGCAGCAUCUACAAUGGUAUGUUAUAAGUAAGUAAAUUCCAUGGUAAUAUGGCUGCUCUUUCCUUUUGUAAAAUUAAAAAGUUUCAACAUACCAAAAAUAAAGGAAUCCAAGCUUUUGUUUGGCAAGUAUUCAUAAAUCAGCAAUUUCUCAUCUCCACAAAUGCAGCAACCAAGAAGUCUGACGAGGUUCCUAUGCUGCAAUUUGGCAAUCAGAACUACUUCAUUUCUGAAUUCCUCUGCACCUUGCCCAGAACCCUGACUGAGCCUUUUGAUUGCAAUUUCUUUCUUCUCACCGAGCAUACCCUGCACGAUUUCACCAUUAGUAAAUUGAAAAAGGGAGUGACUAGAAAUGCAUACUACUAUUGUUCAAAUAAUUAUUUUUUAUUACCUUGUAAACCUUCCCAAAUCCACCUUGACCAAGCAUAUUGUCUUCAGAGAAGUUAUCUGUUGCAGUUACAAUAUCUUCGAAGCUAACAAAUGGAAGUUCUAGAUUUUCAUCACCAAGUUCAUGUGACGUGGUCAAGUAUCCAACCAUCGCUUUCUUCUGGAUAUCCUUGUUUCUCUGUUGGCCUAAAAGAAAUAUCAAUCAGUAUAUAUCCUUUGCUAGUACUUGUUAGAGUAAUUCUGCAAGAAUUUUGAACUAUGAAUAACUCUGAGUAGCAAAGUGGCUCUACCUCUCAGCCUGCAUUUCCAGACAAGGUACAUGGCAGCAGCCACAAGCACAAGCAGCGAUGCCGUAACCGGAAGCACGAUUUUUACCACAUCCAUUCUCUUCCUAUUAGCUGCAGAAAUACAUUACACAAAGUGAAUAGAUGACCUUUUUGUAAACGCCGUAUAGAAUGGACGAUAAAACUUUGCUUCUUAAUUAUACUACUGCUCUUUCCUCAUUUGCGAGAAAAAAGUCUAUGUCAUUGGGACUGUCACUUACCUAAUUCAGACUUCGCCAACCUCAGGUAGAGAUCCUGUCCCUUGUCUACGUACCGGACAUCAACAAUGUUAUCCUUCCACAUGACGCAGCCGCUGCCAUCACCACCUCCUCGGAUGUCGGCGGCGGCGUAGGCCACGCACGAGCAGUCGGCGAGGCACCUCGCCCUGCACUGCUCCAGCGUCGCGUUCAUGUCCACCGUCGUGUUGUCCGUGUCGGGGAGCUUCACUCCCCGCACCACCCUGAACCCGUCCGUCGUCGUCCCGUUGCCGCACUCCAGCGGCACGUUCCUCCGGCACCCGCCACCGGACUCCCUCAUGGACCACUGCGAGGGGUUCACGGGGCUGAACCCAACGACGCAGCUGCAGAAGAGCGUGGACGCCGUGUUCACGUUGCACAGGCCGAACGCGCCGCACAUGGCGUAGUCGUCGCAGACGUCCCUGGGCGCCUGCGCGAAGGUGUUCCACACCCGGCUGGCGGGGUCCCAUGCCAGCCGGUGCAGCACGCCGACCUCGUUCAGCACGAGGCGGGAGAAGGGCGCGUCGGACGAGGUGUUGAAGAUGUAGGCGAUCUCGUUGGGGCGGACGAUGACCUGGUUGGAGAACAGCUCCGAGUACGACGCCAUCUCCGGGACGCCGCUGAACCACAGCCCGUUCCAGGGACCCGUCCGGUACUUCUUGGCGUUGCCUUGCCAGGAGACGCAGUCCGGGAGGCCCAGGGUGUCCAUCACACGCCGGCAGUCCCCGGUCGUCGGGUCGUUCGGCGCGCGCCACGACGUGAGGGACCACUCCGCGCCGGUUCGCGGGUCCUUGCCGAGCCUCAUGCCGGCGAGCAAGGUGUUCGACGGGUGAUCGAACGACUGCCAGAGCACGUCGCCGCUGCUCUGCUCGCGCACGACGAGGUUGCCGGACUCGAGUAGCUGCGCCACGGCAGGAGCCGAGCUCGUCGUGUUGGAAGACCACGCGGUCUGGCCAGAGCCGUCGAGAAGGCGGAGGCUCCCGGAGCUGCCGACCACCAUUACCCCUAAUCCUGAGGUGUUGCUGAUGGGGGUGUCACGAUUGGCCACCCAACAGACGGCAUCCGGGGACGCGGUGAACCAGAUGCCAAGGUAUCUCUUGGCUGGCACGCCGGUCGGGGAGAAGAAGCCCAGGGUGAAGGUGCUGCCGGAUGAGACCAACGUCUCACCGUCGGUGAUGUUGCCACCGUUGUUGAGCGUGUCAGAUGCAAUGCCAGCGGCCGAGGCUCUGAGAAAAAGCAAUAGCACGGGGAAAAUCAUGGCGGAAAGAUUGAGAAAAGACAUGGCGGAAAGAUUGAGAAAUCUGCUGGCUGAUGACUGCAUGAUAGUUGAUGCUAGAAUCUCCCCUUUGUGCAAUAAAGCUCCUGGUGUCACUGGACAGCGUUAUACUCCUAUUGUCCUAUAUCGCUCACAAUGCUGGUGCUUUUCAUUGGUUGCAUAUUUAGCACGAAACUCGUACUAAACUUAUUUGUGCCCCUACUUAUUUGUUAGUCAAUUUCUUUUUUAUACGAACUGGCACUGUUAGUGUCUGUAUUAGCCAAUUUAACAGCCUGCCCAAAUUUACAAGGUCGCACCAAUCGUAUCUCUUAUUUUAAACUGACCCCCUUGGUCUCUUUAUUGUUUACUAAUCCUCAGUUCCAAAAUAUAGGUAGUUUAGCUUUUUCCUUAUUUUGUUCCAAAAUACUCCGUACAGAGAUUGAGCAAGUUAACAACAUGGACAGUGCAUUAUCGGUAAAUGUUAUUAACAGAAAUGUUUAAAUAAUAACCAUAAAUAAUGCCCACAUAUGGUUUUUUUUUCAGGAACGCAGGAGAGCUGCGUUUUUAAAUUAUCUACUUCUAUCAUUAUUAAUGAAAAUGCUAACCUAGCUAUAGUAAACAUAUAUAUUGUGCCGUCCUGCAUAUAUCAAAUAUACAUGGUUACAUGAUCAAUAAAGUUAUAUAUUAUGUUUUAGCGAUAGACCAUGAACAAUGUUCUCUUCAUGACACAUAUCAAUGAUACCAACAAUUCAUCUAAAAUUAUAAUAAUAUUUUAUGACAAUAAUAUAUGCAAGUUAUUACCCUAGAUAAAACCUAUAUACUCCCUCCGUAUAGGAUUUAGAAGUCGUUUUGGACAAGAUUUAGGUCAAACAUUGAUAAUAUAAAUCAUUAAUAACGUUUAAAUUGUUGAGUUUGCAAAUAUGAAAAUUAUAUGAAUAGAUUUAUCUUGAAAAACACUUUCAUAAAAGUAUACAUAUAUCAUUUUUACUAAAUAUUUUUAUAAAAAUAAGAGAUCAAAGUUGUGUUUCAAAGACCGUGUCGCUGUCCUAAAUGACUUCUAAAUCUUAUACAGAGGGAGUAUUUCUAUUAAAAUGUUGUGGUGAAUCUCCACUGAUAAAUUUAUAAAUUUCUUUAUAGUAAGCAGCGUUAGUUAGGCACAAAAUAUUACAUCAUCUUGAGGCUAGCAUGUUGGCAUAUCCUAGAUCUCACUUCAAACUACACAGUCAAUUUUGAGCUGCGUGCCAUCACAGUAGUUAAGAGUGUCGUAUAAGACCAUAAAUCUUUGCUUUUAAUAGAAUACAAAAGGAGAAUCUGAGUUUUAGAUUAACAUGAGGACAAAGAGUUUGUUGAAUCAGAAAUUUGAAAGUCAAAAUCCAUAAUCAUGAUGUCCUGAAACAUGGACUGCAACAAGAAAGCAGAGGUAGAAUAACUAGUAACCAAUGAUAAUAAUUCAUUCAUAUUUCCCUUUGGACCAUUCUAACUAACUCUCGUAUAUUUCGUUUUUAAAAUUUCGUUUAGAUAGUUCUUCGUUAGAUAUUGAUGAAAUUGUAGGGUUUAGAUUUGAAACUGGCCCCCCUUUUAGAAUUUGUGUAAAAUAUUCCAAUCUGAAUUGGAUCCCUAGUGUCAUAUAAACUUCUACAAGGAUUAUGCAUAUUUCAAUUAAGCACCAUAUACCGUCGUAUGUCUUGUUGAUGAUGCAAAAAUUUGGUAGAAAUUUUGACAUUAAGCACCAUAUAUUGUUGAUGAUGCAAAACUUUUAACAUUCAAGUCGUCCAUUUGCUUUUAACUGACGUUUUAGUUUCCUUGCAGUAGUGGGUGUUUGUGAGUGGGGGUUUGGAUCUAUGUAUAACUCUCUCUUCUUUUGGCCUCUGCGGAUCGAGUUUUUUAUGAUACACAACUCUUCUGUCUGAGAAGAAAAAAAACUUUUAACAUUAAGCAGUGUUAUUACCUAGGAACUAUUUAUAUAUAUGUACUCUAAACAUUUCUACUAUUUUUCUUCAUGAUAAAAUCUAAACAUAUAGUCCUCCUGUAAAAGAGAAACUCCAUUAUCCAAAAAUCGUGAUUGCUUACGAGUGGUGGCAAUACAAAGUUGACUUAGUCCAUGCACGGAUAAGCUGCACGAUGCACAAAGACCUGCUAGUAGAGUGCUAGCUCAUGGAGUCAUGGAUGAUACGUGACUUUAGGCUGCCACUGGUAUAUGCACAUAAAGGGAAGUCACAUCCACUAGUCUACAGCAUGCAUCAUGCACAGACUGCAGGCCGCGGGUUAGCUUCUUCUUCACUGUUCCUAGAACGAUUAGAGUCUGUUCACUUGUAUAAAAAAUUAUAAUUGAAAAUACUGUUUACUAAUUUAUUAUGAGAAAAAAACACUACUGAUAGAAAAAAUACAGACAAACGAACAGGCUUGGGGUAGUGGAACGUGAAUCAUGAAACGUGGUAUACUUUGGAACGCUCCUUGACAAAGAUUUUUUCACUGUUGGGACGAAACUGAUUCACAUUCUUGGAAUGGCACGUUGCCAAGAUGCGGAACGUGGCAUUGUACCACGUCUCCUACUGACUGUGGUCCAGGCCGGAUCUUCUCCAUUAUUGUGUAGCCUGAACUGAUGCUGGCCUGCACGGCUACAAACAAAUCCCUCUACCCUCGCGAACAUGCAAGACGAGGACGGCGUAAACUUACGCAUGGCUGCUGUGUACGCAACAGAGUAAACAUCUGCUGAAAUCAAACGAAUACGACCUGUAGACUUUUGUAGUGCGUGCCAUCUUUGAUCUUUUCUUUCCAAGUGGUUAGACUGCUGACUUUUUUUUGUGUCUGAUUGAUCGGCAAGGCAUGCACAACCCGACCCUUUUUUCGCAGUUGCUCUGCAUCACUCUAGUCUCUAGAAAACAGCGCGCGUGAAACAGCAAGCACUUUAUUAAACUUGAUUGAUUACCUUGCCGAGCUCGCCCAUGCUCAUCAGUACCCUUGCUCUAACGAUUCGUCCAAGCUUGAGUGAUUCUGAAACAGGCCAGGUCAUGGUACAGCGACGGCUCGAAAAUGACGCAGCAGCCAGCAGCAACCAGCAAGCCAGGGGCACCCGGUGAAUCGAAGAACAAAGCUGCUAUCUUGGCAAGAAAGAGAUGCUGACUGGUGUGGACCAUGGCGACGGCGUCGGUGUCGUCGUCGCCUCUUUUGCUAUGCAGCACGGGGAGCAAGCAGCGGCGGGAGUUGACCCAAGGCGGUGGCUGAUGACAACUAGCUGUCGAGCGCUGCCAUUGGGAGGAGGAGGAGGAGGCUGAUGCUGAUGGAGUCGACUGUCGACAGAGAGAUUUUCAGCCACGAACUUCGAUUGAAAUCAGAGUUGGGCCGGUUCAGUCUCCGAAGUUCAGCCAGCCCGUUGAUGAGGCCCAAAUAUUACUAUGGGCUGAGACCUUGCGAAACCUAUGUACUGGGCCUGAAUUCGACGGCCCAUCUUUGAAACAGCCUAGAAAUUGGCGCGCUCUCAGCUCUUGUUGUUCUGAAAAGCAAGGCAGUUGGUCCUCUCACGAGAGUCAUGUACGAAUUUGCAGAUUCUGCUCUGAGAAACAAACUGUGUACGAGUUACGGUGUAUAUUAGUGCAAGGAAUAUCAACGGUUACUCUUACACCAAAAGAAAGGAACAGGUUUAAAACGAAGGCAAAAGAAGAACGAAAAAAAGGUUAUAUAGGCCAGUUUCAGGCUGCUUCAGUGCUAGUCCAGGCUAUCUUAGCAAGGGCAUGUCAAGUGAGAUCGACGGUGUCUCUCUGUGCGCCACUGUCGUUGAACGCAGCGUGUGAAGGAGACCCAGUGCUGCUGUGAUCAUCAAAUAUUGGCAUUUUGGGCGGGUAGAUCCCGGAAUCAUCACUGUUUAGCAUUGUGACUACCGCAGACAUGGUAGGCCUAUCUAUCAUCAGGCAGCUGUUGGACACAGAGAAGGCCUAUCUGAACGCAUUUCUCCAAUGCAGGAAGAAGCCCAAACUCAGGCUCUUCCAUGGCUGAAUCCAGAAGGUCCUCGAUCUUAUGCUGGCUCCAACAAUCCCAGGCCUGCAAAAGAUCGAGCUACAGAUUUAUGCCUAAACGUUCAAAAAAAUACAGAUUUAUGCCUACUUCUUGAGAAAUUAAAUGAAACGUAAUAAUAUGGAAUUUCUGGCUAUCGGUGUACUUACAUAGGGUAGGAGUGGUAGCAUGUUUCUUUUUCUUGGGCCACUUAUUAUAUUCAUUAUGACAACUCCGAAGCUGUAGACAUCGCAUUUCAGUGUAAGGUUUCCUUGCAUCGCGAACUCCGGAGCCGUAUACCCCCUUUGGUUAACAAAAAAUAUGUCAGAUCAUAUCUGGGGGAAAAAACGGUAGACAUGUACUGAUGUACAUGAUGUAGCCAAAUUAAUAGAACAUCAGCUGAAAGGUUAAGGUUCAAUUAAUCAUACGGUGUCUGAAAAUUUGUUUGAGUUAUCUGAUCUUCAAUGAAUGUUUUCGCGGUACCAAAAUCUGCUAUCUUCGGUCUCAAAUUGUUGUCCAGAAGUAUGUUGGAGGGUUUUAGAUCCCUGUGAAUGACUUCCUCGCUUAAUUCUCCAUGGAGAUAAGCAACGCCUUUGGCAACCCCACGAAUGAUUUCCAGCCUUCGCUCCCAAUUCAGAGACGCACGGAGUUUGGGGUCGUUUCCUGUCAGUUUGAUGCAUGCAUAGAACAUGAGAACAUUCAAGUGCCAGGAGGUUAAAAUGAUUAUAUCUCCAGACAAAAGAAUGCAUCACAGAUUACGAGUCAGUGUAUACCGAAUAUGUAGAAACUCAAGCUCUUAUUCUGCAUGUACUCGUAGACUAGUAGACGCUCAUUUCCAUCCUUGCAGUAAGCAAGGAGCUGAAUAAGAUUUCCAUGCCUUAGUUUUGACAUCAGUUCCACUUCUCUCAUGAAAGCCGUUUCACACUGAUCAUAGGUAAGCGAAGAAUGUAUGAUCAGCCGCUUUACGGCAACCUUGGUUCCAUCAUCUAGCAUGCCCUGGUGAUUGUAUACUUACAUGAUGUUAUAUGUCACAGAAUUUUAACGGUAAAAUAGAUAUUCAGUAAAAAGAAGGCGACCUACAGAGUACAGACAGACCUCAUAAACGAUGCCAAAUCCACCUCGGCCAAUGAUGUUGUUUUCGUGAAAAUCUUUUGUUGCUGCUUUCAUGCUAGAUAGUUGAACAGAAGGGACGAUCGGAGCAGGAAUAGCCUGAAUACUAUGAGUAGCUGGAACAUGGAUCAACAUGUCUGCAAAUUAGCUUAUGCAAAAUGAAAUUUCUCGUUUUCUUUUCUACAGAAAAUUACAGGAGGUUGAGUGCUGAAAUAAAGGGGGAAAAGAAGUAGGAGUAACCGGGUUUGUUAAAUCACCUGAGAUUCUAGAUGUCAGAUGCCUCCUAAUCAUGAGUAGGACCACGAAAAUAAUAAGCAGAACCAUGACGAAGGAAGACACAGAUGCGCCAACAACCCGAGCAGUAGGAGAUGACCGGUGAGAUGGUUUGACUUCACCUGUCAGUUUCACAGUAAGGAUCAUCAAAGGACAAAGCUAGUAUGUCGAGCAGAUGAGAUCAUGAGAAAGCAAUGGCUGUGUUCAUCUACAUCGAUCGAUGCAGAGUCAAAGAUAUGCCCUGUUGGCAAAAUCUGAAAUAGCGCCGUUAUUUGAACGCUAAAGCUAUGCAACUAAGCAGGGGCUAUAGUGUGCAAUAGCGGCCAAAGUUGGCAUUGCUGCACAAAUAGAAAUAGCUUAGCGUAAGAUCUCUCCCGUCACUAUAGCCCGUUAUUUUUUUUCCAUGAUGCAGACCUAAGGGUUUUACAAAGUUUUCCCUUAGAAAGGAUGCCAAAGUUCGUUAUUAAGGAAAAAAAAGGGAAAGAAUGCCAAUUGCCAAAGCAACAGCAGCAGAAAUGCUGGAACAUAGUAAAUUUUGCUGAAUUGCUGUAGGCAUACCUAGUUCAGAUCUUGCUGACUUCAGAUAGAGGUCCUGCCCUCCAUCCACAAGGCGCAGAUCGACGAGGCCAUCCGUCCACAUGAUGCACCCACUCCUGGCGCCGCCGCCGCCGCCGCCGCGGAUGUCCAUGGGUGCGUAGGCCACGCAGGAGCAGUUAGCCACGCACCUCGCUCCGCACUCCUCCAACGUGACGCCCGCGUCCACCGACACGUUGUCCGCGUCGGGGAGCUUCACCCCCCGCAGCCGCAGGAAGCCGUCUGCUGCCGCCGUUGCCAUCGUCCCGUUGCCGGCGCCGGCGCCGGCGCAGUCCAGCGCCACAUUCCGCCGGCACCCGACAGAGUAGUCCCGCAUCCUCCACCCCGCGGGGGACGCGGGGCUGAACCCCCGGGCGCAGCCGCAGAACGACGUGGACGCCGCGCCGGCGUCGCACACGCCGAACGCGCCGCACCUGCCGAACGCGUCGCACACGCCCCUCGGGGCCUGGAAGAAGUUCUUCCACGCGCGGGUGGCCGCGUCCCACACCAGGCGCUGCACCAACCCGUCGUCGGUGAGCAGCAGGCGGGAGAAGGGCGCGCCGGCCCUGGCGACGUACCCGUACGUGACCUCGCCGGGGCUGACGGUGAGCUCGUACGCGAACAUGUCCGAGUACGUCGCCAUCUCCGGGAUGCCGCUGAACCACAGCCCGUUCCACGGCCCCGUCCGGUACCGCUCGACGUCGUCGCCGUCCCGGAGAACGUUUUCCGGCACGCCCCUCGCGUCGGUCGUGUACCAGUACUUCCCCGACGAUGGGUCGCUGGCCGAGCGCCACGACGUGAGGCGCCACUCGGCUCCGGUCCACAGGUUCUUGCCGAUCUUCAUGCCGGGGAGCAAGGUGUUGGACGGGUGGUCGAACGACUGCCAUAGGACGACGGCGCUGCUGUUCGGGUCACUCAGAACGACGAGGUUGCCGGACUCAAGUAGCUGCGCCGAUGCUGGGCCGGCGGCGGCACUGGUCGUGUUUGAAGACCACACGACUUGGCCGGAGCCGUCGAGCAAGAGAAGGCUCCCGGCGUCAGUGAUCACCAGCGCUGAUCCGGAAGUGUCGGCGAGUGGGCGGUCACGGUUGGCUACCCAGCAGACGGCGUCCUCGGAAACGGAGAACCAUAUCCCGAGGUAUCUCUUGCUUGGCACCCCGAGGGAGAAGAAGCCGAGGGUGAAUGAUCCUCUGGCCGAGACGAGCUUGUCGCCGUCGGUGAUGUUGCGGCCCUUGCUCAGGAUGUCGGACGCAGCAUUAGCAGCAAGAGCUGUGAGAGCAACAAGGAGGAACAGGGAGAAGAAAAUGAGGAGGAUGCUGUUUGCGUUUGCCAUGGACGAUCGAUGUUUUGUAGUUUUUGCACAAGGCACAGGCAAUGUAACCACCCCUCGUAUGCAGGAGAGAUGUCGGAUGGGUUGCGCAUAUAUGACCGUGCUAGCGGGAAAAAAAAUUCUCUGCAUACUGAUGCAGAGAAAGAUGGGACGUGAGUAAGGCCCGAUGACGAGCUAGGUCGGUUUGGUUUGGCUCGUUCUAGGAUAACGAGGUAGCUCAGCUCGAUUUGGUUCGUUACGAGUUUAAGGCUUUGAGCUGACUUGUUAAGCUCAUGAACUUGUAUACAAAAUAUAAUAUUUAUAUUUAUCUAAAGCUUAAAAACAAUAAUAAAAAAAAUAAUAUAUCCAAUAGUCUUAAAUUAAACAAAAUAUUUAUAUGAGAUAACAUAUCAACCAUUUGUAAAAUGUAAGGCAUAAAGUAAUACAAAACUAAUAUAAAUUAUAAUGACUUUUUUUUUAAAACUGUAGCUCAUUUAGCUCACGAGCAGCAUACGAGCUAUCUUGAGUUGGCUCUUUAUAGCUAACGAGGUAAAAUCUUAGCUCGGCUUGGCUCGUUAUAAUAAUAAGCCGAGUCAAGCCGAGCCGGACCAGCUAUGAGCUAAGCAAGCUAACAAGCUUUGAGUUUUUCGUCCAUUCAAGCCCGAGCCAAGCAAGCUAACGAGCGCACUCGGUUCAGUCGAGAUCAUCCGAUCGAUCGACCACUUCGCGAGAAGAGUCAUCUCGCAUGGUAAUCAAACCGUGCUACACAGAUUCUCGAUCUCUCUCUGCAUACGUGACGCAGAGAAUUCUUUUCCACUAGGAAUUCCACCAGGAAAAAAUUCUCUGCAUACGUGAUGCUUGCGAGAGGAUACGGUGCAGCUAGCUAGCACAGCACGGAGGCCGUCCACGCCGUGGAUCGUCUGGCCUGUGGCUGCGUGAUGGAGGUGCGAUUACGGAUCGACAUCACCGGAAAGGAUGCGACAUGCAUGCAUGAGUGAGAUGGGCGGAAAGAUAUGGGAUAUGAGCGAGAUCAGUCAUCGCACGGUAAUAACCAAACCGUGCUUCACAGAUCCUCUCUCUGCAUAUGUAUAGAAUUCUUUUCCAUGCUGCCCUGCACGUAGAAUGCUCUAGUGUUGUUAGAUCCGUAAUUUCAUGUUGCAACGUGGUGCGGAUUAUUUGGCUGGUAUAUAUAAUUCUAAUCGCACGUAUGGUAUAUCAAAUGCUCCAUGGUCCACAAGUCAGCUGCAUAUCAACACCAUAUUUUGGUAAUUAAGGACCAUCCCUACUGAAUUGUUUUCCGUUGGGGAGGUCAAGCUUCCGAGACUUGGUCAUCUCGAAGUAAUAUUUGGGAGCUGCGAGAUUUUAUUUGCUGAAUUUUCAAGUAAUGAUUACACAACCAGCCGACUAAAUUAAAAAGAUAACUAACAAGAGAUAAUUUAUAAUUUUUCUAUAGCUAUAAACAAUGACAAAUUAAUUACAUGGUGUCUGAACAACAGUAAAAAGAUUUAGACACCUCACAUGUAAAAGUGGUAAUGUAGGAGAAGGGAUCCACGGCUAUUCCGCUAAACAGGACGCCAACUGUGUUUGUGUACGUAGAGCUAGUGAGCUGCUCGUAGUCAAGUACAGUGUCUAUUAAGAUUCUGUUUGACAUAGCUUAACUUCACUAAUAAAGUUAUUUUAAAAAAUAGCUUUAUAAAUAAUUUUCUAGACGAAGUUGAGCUAUUUUAGAAAAAGGGUUUGAUAAAAUAGCUUCAUCAACUACUUUUUGCGUAGAGAUGAGAGAGAAGUAAGAGAGGGAGCUGCAAUAAACUACUUUUUUUUAGCUUCAUUCCAACUCGAUCAUAUCUUUGUGAGAGGAGAAAAAAAUACAGCUUCACUCAUGAAGCUGUUUUGACCCUAUUUGUCACAGCUUAACUUCACUAGGAAAGCUGUUUUUUAAGAAAAUAGCUCCAUGAGUGUUUUGGCUCUGUUUGUCAUAGCUCAACUUCACUAGUAAAGCUAUUUUUUAGAGAGCAACUUUCUAGAUGAAGCUGAGCUUUUUUGAAAAAAGUGUUUAGUAAAAUAGCUUCACUACUAGUUCUUGUAUAGAUGAGAGAGAAAUGAGGGAGAGAGAUAUAAUAAGCUAUUUUUGUAGCUUUAUACCAACCCAUAUUUUUAUAAGAGAAGGAGAAAAACAGUUUCACUCAUGAAGCUAUUUUAGAAAUAAGUGUUUGGUAAAAAAACAGCUCACAACAGCUCGUUCGUUGUUGUGAGCUGUAUCAGGGCUUAGUGUUUGCAAAAAAAACAGCUCACAAUAGCUCAUAAAAUUGUUGUGAGCUAUACCAAACAGACCCUAAAUAAUAAUCAUUGACACUUGCCCCAAUUGUCAAAUCGAAUAGCUUAACAGAUUAAUUAACAGCCAAUCCGAACAGUUUAUAUCCUAGAACUUCUUGUCGCCACUCGUUCUGAUCGGGCCGGCCGGAAGUGAGGUGUAUCUUCACUCUUACUUCUCUUUCGACUGACAUCAGCCUAAAUUAUUUAGAUUGGAGACACAGAUGGCUAGCACAAUCGUAUUACGAGCUAAGACUUUUCGCAGCACAUAUUUUUACUGGUUCAAAUCCUAGAAAACUUCAUCGGAAGAUCUAAACAAUAGCUCAUGCAACUUAUGAUUGGUCGGUUUUUAAACAUCUGAAUUGGACUCACAUAUAUAUAAGUUGAAAACAUUCAAACAUUAUCUUCUGACUUUCAUUGUAGGAGGCGUACAAGCUAAUACAUCUAUCUCUAGCUAUAUAUAUGCAUAAAUUCCCAGAAUUGUUCUCUUUCAUAAAGAAGAAGGAAAUUAUCCUGGCUGAAGGAAUGGCUCAAACUCCCCUGCACAGCCUUUUCCAUUUACCCCUAUCUCAACAGGCUCAUGGCCAAAUGCUUCAGUUGCAAAAUAUUCUGGAGGGGGUUUCCCUGAAUGAGUCUACCGACAGAUGGGUUUACAUUUGGAGCACAGCCAAUUUUCAGUGAAGAGAGCUUAUAAUCAUUUGAGUGGACACCGGAUGUUACACCCAGUUUACAAUUGGCUCUGGAGAAGUUCUUGCCAAAAUAAGCAUAAAGUGUUCUUUUGGCUUCUUAUAAAUGAUAGACUGAGUACUAGGGAAUUAUUGAGAAGAAAGAAUAUGGAUCUUCUAGACUACAACUGCAUUCUUUGCAAUGGCUCAACUGAAGAAUCACUCUUACACCUUUUUCUUGGCUGUCCUUUUGCCACACAAUGCUGGGCUUGGCUCAACAUUCAGGUUGAUCACAACUCUGAUCCCUUUCAGAACCUUGAGGGAUUCAAAGGGCAACUAGGGGUGCCGUUCUUCAUGGAGGUCAUCAUUUUAAUGUGUUGGACCAUUUGGAAGGCAAGAAAUGACAAGAUCUUCCGCCAGAUUUAUGAGAAUCUUCAAAUAUCAAAACAAAACUUCAGAGAUGAGCUCCAGUUUUUACUGCUGCGAACAAAAAGAAGCUACCAUCCAGGAAUUGAUCAAUGGAUUGCAGAUUUAACUUAGCCCGGUUCCUUUCGGUGGUAGCUUUACUUUUUCUCAUUUCUUUUUUCGUGUCUUAACUCUCCCUCCUCCCUUGCUCUCAGUUUUCUUUUGUUUUGUAUCUUGAUUUUUUUUCAAUAAAUAUGUUGUAGGGGUACAAACCCUUCCAGUUUUCCUCAAAAAAAUAUAUAUCAAAUAUUAAAAAAAAUAAAAAAAUCAUGGCCUGUUCUCAAACUUAUGGUGUGGUGUCAUUUAAGUCUAUGUACUAUCAUAAUGCUAUUUCUUGAUCCCUAAAGAUGAUUACUGAUCUCAUCUGGGUCCAAAUGGAUCUUAACCCACAUUUACAAUGUAGCUGACGUGUAUGGGUCCCCCGUGUUAGGUCAUGUUUGUCAGCUAGGAAAACUAGAGGUGAAACUUCCAUGGAUUAGUGUAUGUCUGCAUUCAAAAUGAUGCAAGUGGCCGGAUACAAUAGGACGACUACAGACACCAGGAAUCAUAAUAAUAAGCUUAAAAUGAAUCUGUCUACUCAACACCUGAUUGUUUGGGGGCAUCUAGUAGACUAGUACUACCCAGCCACCCAGGUGUUGCAUGCGACCAAAACACCUGAUUGGGAACCCAAACAAAAUCCAGUGUUUCUGAUGCAUGGAACACUCGAUUUUCAUGACAAUAGGAUCCAAAUCAAAUGAAAAACAAUAAACUUACAGCAAUAAUGCAAAAAUAUUAAAUAAACAACAAAAGUAAGCACAAUUUCUAUGGAAGCUAAAUUCGAAGAUUUCAAAGGGAAACCAAAUAAAGCAUACAAAAAGUAAAAAUAAAAAAAAUAGAUAAUGUGCAUCUAGCCAUUGUAAGGAGUUUGAUUCCGAGAGGUUUAAAUUAAUUAGAUGGUGCCAUAGUUGCACAAAUCUCCAAGUGGUCCAACAAGUUACAAUGCUCAGGCAAUGUAUGUUAGCUCUUAGUGGGAGUUUUAUUCACGUUAAAUAGGUUGUCACAUAGAUAUUUUUUAUGACAUGACAGUGUAUUUAAGAAUAGAGAAAAUAAAUGGGUUUCAUCCAGAUGAAACUCUCUUGGCACGAUUAUCAACUCUCUAUGAGUCUUCGAAUUAAAUGCUUAUGAAACUAUGGCAUAAAAAUUAAGAGUAGGUGUUUCAUCUAAGUUUCAUUUUAUUUCACAUGACAUGGCGGUCUUGGAAACAAUGUUAUGAAACUCCCUACUGACAUUGGCCUUAGAAAAAAAUAUUAAACUAGAGGUGAAACUUCCAAGGAUUAGUUUAGUAUGUUUGCUUAUCUCCAUUCAAAAUGACGCAAGUGGGUACGAUAGGCCUAUCAUAAGGCCUUUGAUUUUGAGUAUUGUAGCAUUUUCGUUUUUAUUUAAUAUUUAUUGUCCAAUCAUGGACUAACUAGCUCAAAAGAUUCAUCUUAUGAUUUAUAGCCAAACUAUGCAAUUAGUUUUUGUUUUCGUUUAUAUUUAAUUCUUCAUGCAUGUGCCGCAAAAUUUGAUGUGAUAAAGAAUCUUGAAAAGUUUUUGGUUUUGGGGGUGAACUAAACAAGGCCUUAAGCUUAUAAAAUUUGACUGAGAACGAAGACUUCUGGAGUCAAGUCAACUAAGAAAACCAGGUUGACAGGUGACAACAAAUAAUGUUGGUCUCAAUUGAGAAACUGUGCUGAACCUAUAUUAUUGCGUGACAAAAAACAAGUUUGUGAAAGAGGUUGAAGACCUAUUCUAGUUUCCUAUCUAAACCUCGCUAUAAAAAAAUUUAUACUACUGUUAGGUAUAUAAUGUUGUCAACAGAGAAUUUUCCUAGUAACUAUUUAGCUAUUUAGAUUUAGAAUAUCAAAUGUGGUCCUAAUAAAAACUUCAAAAAAAUAUGAAAUAAAGGCUUUUUGGUUUUUUUUUAAAAAAAAUUGAGAUCAUUUUCUUGGGUCUAGCUGCCUUCUCCAAAAACUACUCAGAAUGAAAUCUCAUUUGGCUUUUAUAUCUUUACUAUAAUAGAACACUUACAUUAUAAUUGGUCUAUCCAGUAAAACGUCCAUCGCUGAGAGCCUCCAACCUUUACGUACCCAGAAAAUUACAUAUAGGAAUUUGUCUCUGUUAAAAUCAAAGGCUAAAAAAUAACCUAGCUUAGAUUUGAUGGCUAACAAUGAAAGUUUGAUGCAUGUCUUUAACGUGUGGCUUCAAACGCCCCUCCCUCCGCAAAGUGCGACCCCGCACCCGCCCUGCAUACUGCAUGCUCGAGAUAGGUUCGAUUCCUAUCUCUACACCCUCCCCCCCCCCUCAUUUUCUUCUCUUUCGAAAAAAUAACGAGAUUUCAGGAGGGAGAGACCGGGUUGGGUGGUGGAUGAGGUGCCAGCGGGGCCGCACUGACGGCCUGUGACUCCACAACCGGCGGCAACGUUGCCCUGCUCACCUCGGCCGACAAUAGCCCUGCUCCCUGCGACCAUGGUGGCAUUGUUGACGAUAGAUAACUACCAUUUUAAUCGUUACCAAAAGAGAAGAAAAGGGUGCCGCAAUGCUCGAUGAUGCCACCAUGGUCGCGAGGAGCAGGGGCAUCGUUGGUUGAGGAGCAGGGUAGCAUUGCCAUCGGUUGUGAAGUCAUGGGCCGCCGGCACGACCCCGUUGGCACCUCAUCUGCCGCCCAACCCAGUCUCUCUCUCUCUCUCUCUCUCUCUCUCUCUCUCCCAAAAUCUCAUUAUUUUUUGAAAGAGAACAAAAUGGGGGGGGAGGGGUGGAGACGGGAAUCGAACUUGUGAUGCAGGGCAGGUGCACGGUCGCACUUUGUGGAGGAAGGGGCGUUUGAAGCUAUGCAUUGAAGCCUGUCAAACUUUCAUUGUUAGCCAUUAGAUAUAAUGUAGAUUAUUUUUUAGCCUUUGAUUUUAACAGAGAUGAAUUUCUUUGUGCAAUUUUCUCGGUACACAAUGGUCAGAUGCUCUCAUCGGGAGACGUUUUGAUGGGUAGACCAAGUCUAAUUUAAAUGUUCUAUUAUAGCAGAGAUUAAACAAAUUCAACUAUAAAGUUCUAGAUCUUUUGAAGCACUACAAAUUUAGCAUAGAGUGUGUCGCCAUGUGAGGUCAUUCGAAAAUUUAGGGAAAAAUAAAUUUAAUAAUUAGAGAACAUAAAAUGAAUACCUAGGCCUCUAAAUAAUCUCAAAUAAAAGGGUUUUCGACAAUAAAAUUAUUAGAUUAUAUUGAGAUCUAUAACUUUGGUAUAGACCAAGUCAAUGUUCGAGGCCAUUUAAAAAAAUUAAAGAUUAGAAUUUAAGAAACUAAAACCAAUAUAUGGGUCUCUAGAUGACAUCGUAUAAGAAAUAUGUCAACUACAAAGUAAUAGAUCACAUGUAGAGCUAAAACUUUGGUAUAAAUAAUGUCAACAUCCAAUGUCAAUUGACAAAAAAGCAAAAAAAAAACUGAACUUCAAAAUCCAAGAACUUAAAAAUGAAUAUUUGGGUCUCUAAAUAAUCUUAGAUAAAAAAUUAUCAACAUACCACAUAAGAGCUAAAACUUUGGUAUAACUAUCUCAACAUUCUAUGUCAUUUGAAAAAAUCAAAAAUUUGAAUUUCAAAAUCUAAUAACUAGAGCGAUCCUCUAAAAGUCUUUCUUACUCACUCUCUAAAUCAACAUUUGGAGAGUCAUUUGCAUAAAAAACAUUUUCUAUAUCUUUCUAGUCUCCAAUGGUUUUUCUAAUCUUGUUUGCACAUGAGAGAGCCAUUCUUAUUUUCUAUAUUUGGCUAGCCAGAAAUCCAGAAUAGAAGAUGACUAUACUUGGAUAUAAUAAUCAACUAAAGAAUCUAUUGGAUGAUAUUUUUUUUCACCAAAAUCUCUAUUCCUAGCAAUUUAAAAAGAAUAUAGGGUCUCUUAAAUUGCUCUUAGAACAACUAUUUGAUCCUAUAAAAGAUCUUAAAUAAAAAUAUUUUUAACUAUAAAGUUGUAGGUCGUAUCAAGUAUACAAUGUUUAUAUAAAAUUUGUAUUCAUGGAGCUUAGUAUGAAAGUUGUGUCUUUUUUAUAUAUAAAAGUGAGAGAGAACACCCAUGUCGAACCGACUGCCAUAGCAGCAAAACUACCUAGGAAAUCACUUUAAAAUGGUGAGUUAUUUUACCGGGAUUUAAAAAUUGAGGGCAUACAUCCCAUAUUUAAUUUUGAGGAUAUUUUUAAAAUUCAACGUUAAGUUUAGACAAUCGGACAUUACUCUAGUAAUUAUCACUGGUGAUGAUGAGCUUCUUCGUGGAUAGGUCACCACGUCUCUCAAAAUCAACUUGAAAAUAUAAAAAAAUAAGAAACACCAACCACGGAAGUUGACUUUCAUCAUCCAUUCAUCAUUCUUUGUUAUUUGAACGGGCGUAUAGCCUAGAAAUGCAGAAUUUAAAAAAACAGGUUACCUACAAAUAAAGAACUGCAAGUAGGCCGACAGUGAAAAUGUAAUUGGCAUUUAUAAAUUGUAAUAUCCAAAUAUGUAGGGGUCUUCUCUCACGCAAUAUGGUAGAAAUCAAACAUGACCAAGUCAAACUUUUGACCUAGCUGAUGCCUUCCGGAUUGAGUAAAGUGCGUGUUACUUUCUGUAAUUCUAUUCGUACAAACAUUAACAAAAAUUGAAAAACCAAAUUGAAUUUGGUGGCUAGGUGGGCUUUAAUCUAUCCGAAAUGGUGAGUUUUUUUUUUGGACUAAACUCCGAAAUGGUGAGUAACACCUAACACACGUGAAAACAUGUUUCGACUUUCGAGGUCUUCUCUCUUACACGCUGGACGCGCAAGGCCGUAGAGCCGAUGUGUGAGAUCAAAAAUACGCUGGACGCGCAAGGGCUAAACCCAAAUCCCCAAUCAUGGAUACAAUAUUAUUCAUCCACCUUCUCCUGCUCCCGUUUAUGCUACUUUGUCCCAUAGCCAUCGCCGCCGACGUGUCUGACACGCUCGGCAAGGGCCGGAACAUCACCGACGGCGAGACGCUCGUCUCAGCCGACGGGACAUUCACCUUGGGAUUCUUCUCUCCCGGGGCGUCAACCAAGAGAUACCUCGGCAUCUGGUUCUCGGCGUCCAGUGUCGCCGUCUGCUGGGUGGCAAACGGCGACCGCCCUGUGAACGGCAACUCCGGCGUGCUGGUCGUCAGAGACACGGGAAGCCUUCUGCUGCUAGACGGCUCUGGCCAGACCACAUGGUCGUCGAACUCCACCAGCUCAUCUUCAUCGGCGGAGGCGCAGCUCCUCAACUCCGGCAACCUCGUCGUCCGCGACGGAGGCAGCAGCAGCAGCAGCAGCGACAUCCUGUGGCAGUCGUUCGAUCACCCGUCGAACACCUUGCUGUCCGGCAUGAAGCUGGGCAAGAACAAGUGGACCGGCGCCGAGUGGUACCUCACGUCGUGGCGCUCAGCCGACGACCCGUCGCCGGGGGCCUACCGCCGUGCGCUGGACACCAGCGGGCUGCCCGAGCUUGUCGUGUGGCAGGGCAACGUCAGGACCUACCGCACUGGCCCUUGGAACGGCCGGUGGUUCAGCGGCAUCCCGGAGGUGUCGGCGUACAAGAAUUUGAUCUGGUACCAGGUGACGACAAGCCCGGCGGAGAUAUCCUACGGCUACACCUCCAACCCCGGCGCCGCAUUGACUCGUGUCGUGCUGACCGACGCCGGCAUGGCCAAGCGCCUUGUGUGGGACGCGGGCGCCCGGAAGUGGCAGACCUUCUUCCAGGGCCCCAGGGACGUCUGCGACGCCUACGGCAAGUGCGGGGCGUUCGGGCUCUGCGACGCCGGCGCGGCGUCCACGUCGUUCUGCGGCUGCCUGACAGGGUUCAGCCCCGCGUCGCCGCCGGCGUGGUCCUUGAGGGAUACCUCAGGCGGAUGCAAGCGGGACGUGAAGCUGGACUGUGCCAAUAAUGGGAGUGGCACGAGCACGACAACGACGACGACGGACGGUUUCCUGUUGGUGCACGGAGUGAAGCUUCCCGACACACGCAACGCGACGGUGGACAUGAGCAUCACGGUGGAAGACUGCAUGGCGAGGUGCCUCGCCAACUGCUCGUGCUUGGCCUACGCCGCCGCAGAUAUCCGCGGUGGCGACGUCCGUAGCGGCUGCGUGAUGUGGACGGAUGACAUCAUAGACCUUCGAUACGUGGAUAAAGGGCAAGAUCUCUACCUGAGGCUGGCCCAGUCUGAGCUCCCGCCGGCGCCCUCGCCGCAGCGGCGGCCAUUUCCUACUGCACCUGUUGCUGGUGCAUCCGCAGCUGCCGUCGCCGUGAUUCUUAUUGUUUUGCUGGUCGUAGUAGUGAUUAGGAGGCGCCGGCAACCUAUAAUUCCAGGUAAAAUUUACUGACCCAAUUUUUUUGUUUUCCCCUUUGUUUUUACUUUCAACAUCUCACACACCAUGCUAAGCUGCUGCUAACAUAUGUGGUGUUGACUGUUGAGUUUUCUAGCUGUUCCCGCUCCGAGUGUCCCUUCUACUGAACUGCGCAGACCUCCGUCAGUCCCUUUUGCUGGACAACCUAGUCCUGUUCUCAAUGUGCCUUCUGCUGAAUUGUCUGCUUUGAGGACGGCUACAAAUGAUUUCUCUGUAGACAAUGUCAUUGGCCGUGGAGGAUCCAGCACCGUAUUUGAGGUACGUGUUAGUAUAUGUUAUCAGACCUUAUAUAUAAUGACAUAUUUCCUCCAUCCCAAAAUAAAUCAAUUUUUGUGACAGAUGGAGUAGAAUACUCCCGAUAGCUACUAUACACUAAUACUAUUGUUCAUACGACAAAGAUAAAUAAUCAAAGCAUGGGCAUAGUUACAGUUUUCAUCAUGAAGGAACUCGAAAAAAAGUUUUCAUCUUUGACUGCAUGUAGAAGUAUUUCAUAGUCACACCUGCUUUGCACUGGAAAGUAGUAUAUUUACCGUUGACAUGCAUGCACAGCUAACAUAAUUUGAGCAAUUACCAGGGGAAUUUAACUGAUGGUAGAAAGGUUGCUGUAAAGAGGGUCACACAAUCUUAUCUUACUGAUGAAGGUGUUGAGAUUUUCAUGAGAGAAGUGGAAGUGAUGUCAGAGCUCAAGCAUGACAAUCUUGCUCAGCUCCUUGCUUAUUGCAAGGAUGGAAAUGAGCGGAUCCUAGUCUAUGAGUACAUGGAGAACAGGAGCUUGAACCUAUACAUAUUCGGUACUUGCUUUAAAUCUAUAAUGCGCAGAUUGUUGAUAUUCGUCUAGAUACGUAUGAUCAUAAUGUUCUGCUACUUCAAAGCGCUCAUCUGCUGAUCUGUUCUAUGUGUAUUUGACAGCAAGAGAUCGCAACCAGCGUGCUUUGCUGAAUUGGGAGCGAAGGCUGGAGAUAAUUGUAGGGGUUGCCAAAGGCGUUGCUUAUCUGCAUGGACUAAGCAAGGAAGUAAUACACAGGGAUCUCAAACCAUCCAAUAUACUCUUGGAUGAAAACUGGAGAGCUAAAAUUGCAGAUUUUGGCACCGCAAAAGUGUUCGUCGAUGGCCAGACGAAUCCGACACUAGUACAGACAGAGUAUGACUAAAACCUGAACCCCCUUGGCUACUGUUUCAAUUCAAGUGCAGUAGAAUCACUAGGUAGCAUGCAUAUAUAACAUUAGUUAACUUAACUAUGAUGAGUUGCUUCAUAAGCAUUCCAUUUUUUUCAUAGUAUAUACUAUAUAGUACAUUUUUUUCAUACUAAACUUAAGAUAAAUCCACUGCAUGCUUCUGUUCUCUGUUCUCAAUGCCAAUUGCCAAAUCCUCAACUUACUGAACUGUUUAUAUUGGCAAAAGGGGAUAUAGGGCUCCAGAGUACACAGUGCAAGGGCCGCACCUGACGCUGAAGUGCGACGUGUAUAGCUUCGGAGUCGUCCUGAUCGAGAUCAUCAGUGGCCUAAAGAACAGUAGCACCCCAAAGCUCCUUUCUGAUGUGAGCAAACAGCUACUCCACCGUGAGUUUCUGCAAGAAGAUGAUCCCUUUUGUUCAUGAAUUGAACUGCAUUGUUCUCGCUGCAUCUUUUGCAGGCCCAGGAAUCUUGGAACCAACACAAGAUCAAGGAGGACCUUCUGGAUUCAGCCGUGGGCCAACCGGAGCCAGAGACUCUGCUUCGGCUGGAGAGAUGCGUGCAGGUCGGCCUUCUCUGCGUGCAGCAGUCGCCUGUCGACAGGCCAUCCAUGGCUGAAGUGGUUGCGAUGCUCACGACGAACGGCGGCAGCAGCAGCAGCAGCAGCAGCAGCAGCUCGUCGCAGGUCCGUGGUCCUCUCGCGACGCAGGACGCGCCUGGCGCACACGGCGACUCCAUCUAUCUCACGUAGACGACCUAGAAAAUCCAUGGUGUUGGAUUCUGACCCAGAAAGGGCGCCAAACAGCAACCCCUGCACGCGGUUGCCAAUUUCUGAUCGGAUUGGAUCCCAUCACCAUAUUGGUUAGUGAUUACUGAUUACUGCUACACGAUUGGUAGCAUUGCAGUUGCAGGAAUAGCACCAAAGGCAUAUAAUAGUUGCUACUUAGUUAGUUACUUUUUUUACCUCUUCCCUGUUCGUUUGAACUUAUACCGAUGUAGAGUUCAAGCGGAUUCAUGUUUUUAUAGCAAGCAACUUUUUUUCCUCUUCUCCCCGUGUAGUGGAUUCAUGUUGCUAGAUUAUUAUGAAAGAGUUCAUGGGAACUUUUAUGAAAGAGUAGUAUUGUAAGUGUACAGCAAAUCAGCAGUUCUUUUCCCGUUUACAUGCAUGCAUGUCAGUCAAUCAUCGACUUGUUUGGUUAACUCUGUACCCUAUGUUUAUUCUCUUCAAUAAAAACCUGUAGGGGCUUGGCCCCUCCAGUUUCAUCAAAAAAAAUCAUCGACUUGUUUGCAAGUCUGCAGCGCUGUGAAUACAAGAAAAUGUUCCAUUUGCACUCUCUUGUGUCAGUGUGAUGGAAGUCAAGAAAGAAAAUUAGUUACUUACUUAUGGCCACAUGUAAAUAGCCCAAAAGAAGUGCGACGCCACUAUUUCACGAACGUUCAGUGGAAACGAAAGCAGCGGUGGUCAGUUUCCGACAGCCAUUUUCUUUCUUUUUUGAAAAGUGCAUAUGUUACUUUCUAUUACAGAACAUGAAUCGUUUCUCUUUCUCUUUUUAGACAUUCGAUUCUUUUUUCACUUUCUUUUCCUAAAUCAUCCGCCCUUUAAUAUAUUUUUUUAAGAAGCAUGUGCUCAUAAGUUAUAAAACGGAAUUAAAAAAACAUAACUUUUACGAUAAACUUAACAGUACUAACUUAGACGUGCUUCUAGACAACAUAAGUUUGAGAAAUAAUUUAACAUUGCUAACUUAGUCGUUCUCAAAAAGUUAUAGUAUAUAACUUAUGUACAUAAGUUUACUCCGAUCCUACUAUUUCAAAUUAUAAGGCACAUUGACUUUUCUAAAUUGAAUUUAGUAUGUAUCUAGACACAACUAUAUAUGUAUACACAUAACAAAAUCAAUAUAUGUAGAAAUAUCAAAACAUUUUAUAAUUUAGAAUAGAGAGAGAUAUAAGUUACACAAUACAACUUAAGUUACACAACUAAUACACUAGUGCAUAUAGGAAGUUAUGCAGUUACAGAAGUUAUACGAUACAACUUAGCAGAAUAGGUUAGCAGCAUAAUUUAGCAGAAUAAGUUAGCAACAUGUCGAAAAACGGGAUUUCUAAAUAUCUUCCAGGAGAUUUCUUUGGUUGCUGUCUUCCACUUUUGUGUGGUUGAGAUCUUGUUAAGAUUCGUGUACAGGCUUUGCGUACAUAACAUUGGGUGACCGCGCGCGGCGUCGGCGGGCGCGACGCGCCGCCGUGGUGCGUGUGGCCGGGGGUGUCCUGCGACUUGGCCACGGGAGACAUCGCCGGGCUCGACCUGUCCCGCCGCAACCUCUCCGGCACCUUCUCGGCCACGCUGACGUCGCUGAACCGCGGCGAGAACGCGUUCGCGCGGGGGAGUUCCCCACGGCGGUGUUCCAGCUCCGGCGGGUGCGGUCGCUCGACGUCAGCCACAACUUCUUCAACAGCACGAUCCUCGACGGCGUCAGCGGCGCUCGGUGUGCCGCGCUUGAAGCGUUCGACGCGUACAACUGCUUCGUCGUUCCGCUGCGUGGCUAAUUUAGGAACAGCUAAUGUUAUUAUUUCUUCGUUCCUUGUAGAUUUCUUUAAUUGGCUGGAUACGUGUUGUAUUUUUUUAUCGUUUUGUAUUUUUUUAUCAUUCUAGUUUGUAUUUUCUGUAUGUGUUGUUGUCUAGGUACGUGCUGUACAUUUUGAUUUUCUAUAUGUGUUGUGUGUUGUUGCUGUGCUGUAUUUUUUUUUAUUUCUUGACGUGGCACAUUUUCAUUUUCUGAAAAUGGAAGACAACAAACAUCAAAGACCUCUCUCGAGCUCCAUUAUCCAUGGCCUCCUACUCGCCGAUAUGGUUGCUUCCCCUAUCACCUGGACCGGCCUCCCUAGUCCCUACAGACUGUUAAGCUUUUCCAGUAACUUAGCAAGAAGCCAACCGAUUCAGACACUGACAUAGGUCUUGUGCUAUGUGCGAUGUUGUUAUGCACAUACCACGCUCUCCACAGGAAAAGGGGAAUGAGGAUUCGUUAGUCCUCCAAGCAUCCGUCUAAAAGCAAUAGGAGCCAAUCCUUGCCUGUAUUACUGAAACUAUUCAUCGUCUGACAAUAGCCAAUGCUGGCCCAUGCCAAUAAGCCGCAGGCCCGCAGCGCUCACGCCUGCGGGCAUUGGACUACUGCGUGGUGACUGGAUUCACUUUCAUCCCCGCACAGGUCACAGUGUUGUGUCGCUUCUAAUCUUCUCCUGAGCUUGUUCCUCUUUGUCGGUAGUAUAUCUUUUCUUAACUUCCAUCCAAAGAUCUUGACUUUGGGAGGUACCUGACAAUUAUUCCAAAUGUUGCAAGCGGACAUUAGACCCACCCUGCUAGCCAGAGUUUGAACCCAGGAGCUAAUUUAUCUACGCGUUGAAAAAAAUCAUCUCAUCUGUUUCAUGUCAAAGCACAGGUCUAAAGCCUGCCUAGUCUCACGGGAGCUGCGACACCGCCGUGUAUGGGUGAGACAUGGGGUUUAGGGUUUUCUCGACCUGCGUGAGAAGUUCUUCUACGCACAAUGUCCAAAGUUGUCUUACCCCUACGGGUUGAGAGUUUUAUUGUUAUUAUUAUUAUUAUUAUUAUUAUUCCAAAUGUUGCCCCAGAGUUUCCUAUCCCCGUCUGGCCGUGAGCUAGGCAGUGCUUGCCUUCCUGGUAUGUUCCAUCAAUGGAAUAUUAUUGUGGGAACCGAGAACAUUCCCAAUUUCUCCGGCUGCCAUGCGACAAAAUUUUCAUCAGUUCUCCUUGCGGUGAGCCUGAUCUUGGAUAUAGCCUCAGCAUCAGCAGGGCUGAACAUGCCGAUGAGCCUAUUGUGGUCCCAAUCGGUUCCUUCUGAAUUCAGAAGAUCGACCCAAUGAUAGACCACUUAUGCAUUGUCAUAAUUCACAAAAUAUGGGCCAGUUGAGAAAUAAGCAAAAAUGUUAUCCGAAUGCGAGAAACCAAUCCAAUCAAGUGGACUAAAUUUAAAAGCUCACCAACAAGUUGACUUCAUUAGUCUAUCGUAGUACCUCAAUCACUGAUACUGCUCGAAAAGAAACCUCAAUCGCUGAUCUGCUCUUGUUAAUGUUAUCUGAAUAAUAUUUCAUAUAGAACGUAGAACAGACAGGACUGAAUGUAUUCAAGGAACUGCAAGUAGCCAAUUGACCUCCAAAUCCAAAUGCAAUUUGUAAAACUGGAAAAUCUUUUUCUUACAGAAUGGCCUACCCCCCCCCCCCCCCCCCCCCACACACACACACAACAACAACAACAAAGAGAGGGAAAUUCAACUUUUGACCAAGGUAGCUAUCCGGGACGGAACUAAAUGCAGUACGGAGUACUGCUUCCCCUUUCAACUUUGGAACUCGUCUUUCUUGGCUCUAAUUAACCACGUUGAGUUAAAUACAAAUAGAGCGUUCAUUUAUACAAAUGUUUCAGCUAUCAUGAAAUUAUCCCGGCAGCUCUGAGCUUUGUUUCUUAAUCCACCAGGAACCACGGGCGUUAUGCAUCCCGAGCCGCGCCAUGCCAUGGAAACAAGCUGCAGGAGCCACCUUCUUGACCUUCUCCUCCUCUCCUUACUACUUUCUCCCAUUCCUCCGAGAGCCUUUGCCGCCGAUGAUGUUGCCGGCGACACGUUCAGCAAGGGCCGCAACAUCACUGACAACGAGACGCUCGUCUCGGCCAACGGCGCAUUCACCCUGGGUUUCUUCUCCCCCGGGGUGUCAUCCAAGAGGUACCUCGGCAUCUGGUUCUCCGUGUCCGGCGACGCCGUCUGCUGGGUGGCCAACCGUGACCGCCCUAUCAACGACAACUCCGGCGUGCUCAUGGUCAGCGACACGGGGAGCCUUCUCCUGCUGGACGGCUCCGCCGGCCGGAUCGCGUGGUCGUCGAACUCCAGCAGCACCUCCCCCGUGGAGGCGCAGCUGCUGGACGUCGGCAACCUCGUCGUGCGCAGCCGCGGCAGCGCCGCCAUCCUGUGGCACUCCUUCGACCACCCGUCCAACGUGCUGCUGUCCGGCAUGAAGGUGGGCAGAGACUUCUCGACUGGCGCCGAGUGGUACCUCACGUCAUGGCGCUCCGCCGACGACCCGUCCCCUGGAGCCUACCUCCGGAAGCUGGACACCAGCGGGCGCCCCGACAACGUCGUUUGGCACGGCGGCGUCAAGACGUUCCGCACGGGCCCGUGGAACGGCGUGCGGUUCGGAGGCAUCCCGGAGGUCCUGGCGUACCAGGAGGGGCUGUUCGACUACCAGAUGGUGAUGAGCUCGCGGGAGGUGACGUACGGGUACAAUGCCCGGCGCGGCGCGCCCUUCACCUACGUCGUGCUGACGGACGGCGGCGUGGUGAAGCGCCUGGUGUGGGACGCGAGCAGCCGGGCAUGGCAGACCGCGUACCAGGGGCCGAGGGACGUGUGCGACGAGUACGGCAGGUGCGGGGCGUUCAACCUGUGCAACAUCAGCGCGGCGGCGACGUCGUUCUGCCGCUGCCUCGCCGGGUUCGGGCUGGCGUCCCCCUCGAGGGCCUCGGGCGCGUGCCGGCGGAACGUGGCGCUGGACUGCGCCGCCAACGGGAAGACGACGACGGACGGGUUCCUGGUGGUGCCCGGGACGAAGCUCCCUGACACGCACAACUCGUCGGUGGACACGGGGAUCACGCUGGACGCGUGCAGGGCGAGGUGCCUCGCCAACUGCUCCUGCUUGGCCUACGCCGCCGCGGAUACCAGCGCGGGUGGCAGUGGCACCGGCUGCAUCAUGUGGGCAGAUGAUCUGCUCGAUCUCCGGUACGUCGAGCAAGGGCAGGAUCUCUACCUGAGGUUGGCAGCGUCCGAGCUUCCGCCACCGCUGUCACCGCCGGCGUCAGGAUCCCGGUCCCGGGCUUUUCCUACUGCGCCUGUCGUUGCUGCAUCCGUAGCUUCCUUCGUCGGGAUUCUUCUUAUUGCUUUCUUGGUCCUGGUGGUGAUUAGGAGGCGCCGCCGGAGACCUCCGAUCCCAGGUAAACUGAUUUGCUGUUGUUUUUUCAGCAUUUUAAGAAUGAAAAAAAGGAGUGCGCGCCAAAACUAAUGCUAAUACCCACUGCUCGUUGAGUAUUGCAGCUGCUCAAAGCAUUAUUCCGCUUCCGCCUACGGAUCAUCCAACUAUUGUUCAGUGUACUCCACCGCCGACUGUCCCUUAUGUUGAACUGUCUAGCCUGAUGAGGGCCACUGGAGAUUUCUCUGAAAGCAAUAUCAUUGGACGCGGUGGAUUUGGAAUCGUGUAUGAGGUCCGUAAAGUAAUUCUGGUUUUCUGAAACUUAUUGUCUGUAGAUGUAGAUUUAUGAACUUCAUCAGAUCCGUUAUCUUAAUUGCAUUAUCUUGAUCCGAAUUCGGAAUUUCAUCUACUUUUCAUUUAGGUCAUUGUUGGAUCUCAUCACAUAUUAUACCACAUUUUUCUGAAUGGGAUUUUUCAAUCCAUUAGCCCCUCCAUUUUAAUUUAUAGGUUGUUUUGAUUUUUUUAGAUAUAUAGUUUUUUUCAUUACGUAUCUAAACAUAUUGUAUAUCUAGAUGCUUCGCAAAAGCUAUGUGCCACCUUAAAAAAAGUCAAAAUGACCUAUAUAUGUACUCAUUAAAAUUAGAUGGCUAACUAUUAGCUUUAAGAUGUUCGGAUCGCACCAAGUAAUAUGUGGUUGAAGUGUUGUUUUACCAAAAACACCACUAUUUGUUUUUACUAUUGAUUAGCUAAUAGUUAUUUGAUAAUACUCCACGUACGCGUCCUAGGAUAUAGUGGAUUUUUUGAGGGGGUGUUUGGCACAGCUCUCUCACGAGAGAUUCCUCUAGAGGAGCCAGAGUCGUUUUAGAGAAGUUAUAAUUUAUGGCUUUGCCAAAACGGCUCCGGCUCCUAUACUUUUUACUUAAAAAUGGUUUCUCCAGAAAAACGUUUAAGUUGUCCUAUAAAUUAAACCGUCCUAGAUUUAAUCAAGUUUUUAGGAAAAAUAAAAUAUUUAUAAUUUACAAUAAGAUGAGCAUCGUAAGAUACAAUGCCAAAUUUAUUUUUAUAGUUUAGCUAUUUGGUGUCUUAAGAUAAUACUUUUCUGUAUAAACUUGCAUUUAGAAUAAAUUUGGCUUAGAACAUAGUUAAAUCCAUUAUUAUAUUUCAUGACAUAUAUGGGAGUGUUUAUCAAGUGGUGAAAGGUAUCUCGGUCGAUUGACUACCAAUUAGCUAACAUUGGCUAGGUUUGCCCAACUAUUUAAUAAGAUAGUUCUUAUAGUUGGGUGCUCGGCUUUUUAUUAGUUGACCCUUUAGCUUGGCCUAUUUGGGUCCACCUCAACAAAAAUUUAGCAGAGAAUUAUUAGUUGGCUUGAUCCAAACGGGCCCGGCCUAACAUGUUACCAAAACUUCAUAUUAGAUAUUUCUGAUGGCGAAACUACUAUCAUGCCCAUUUGAUGAAGCUAGAUAGUUCAGUGGUGGUUGAAGUUUUCAGUGCUUGACCGCACAUAGUGGACUGAAGUGUAUAUUAUGUUUUAUUAUUUAAAGUUGGCACGGCAACAUAACAUCAUAUCUGCAAAAUCGCCAGGGGCAUUUACCUGAUGGUAGAAAGGUUGCUGUAAAGAGGCUCAUACGACCUUCUGAUGCUGAUGAAGGCAGUGAUGCUUUCAUGAGAGAAGUGAAAGUGAUGUCAAAGCUCAGGCAUGGCAACCUUAUUCAGCUCCUUUUUUACUGCAAGGAUGGGAAUGAGCGAGUACUGGUCUACGAGUACAUGAAGAAUAAGAGUUUGGACCGCUACAUAUUCGGUACUUAAUGUCAUUUGUUACACAUAAACAUACGUGUACCGAUGUGUGAAUGUAUGGAUAUGAUCAAAAUGUUCAUGUGAAUUUGAAGCUUUCAUCAUAUACCUAUGUUUAAUUUAUGGAACUAAUUAACAGGAGGAGAUCCUAGACUCCGGGCUUUGCUAAAUUGGGAGCAACGGCUAGAGAUAGUUCGUGGGGUUGCCAGAGGCGUUGCUUAUCUUCACGGACUAAGCGAGGAAGUCAUCCACAGGGACUUAAAACCAUCCAAUAUACUUCUAGAUGACAAUUGGAGGCCUAAGGUUGCAGAUUUUGGCACCGCAAAGCUGUUUGUUGUUGACCAAACAAAUCCAACAAUCAUAGAAUCAGCGUAUGCUUCAAACCUCAACAUAUACUAAGCUAGUGUUUCAGUUCAAGUGUUGCUAUAAUUCAGUACUUGUUUUGAUCACAUCCAUUGCUUCAUUUUAUUGCUAACAUCCCACGGAGCAGAAUAGAAUGCACCUAAGGAAAUAUUUACUAAUGAUACCCCUCUAGAACUAGCAUACCGUGGAACCUUAAUGAUGAAUGGUAAAACAUACAAAACCUAUUAUAGAUUCACUGAAACUAAUAAAAAAUAAGUACAGCUGUAAACAAAUAUUCAAAUGAUAUUUGUUAACUAGGAGUCUAGCUAGGAUAGACAUACUACCUAAGCAUUUCAUUCUAAAUAGCAAGACAUAACCUCUGUAACUAUAUAGACAUACUACCUCAACAGACUGACGGUUUUUUUUUGGGUUACUGUAGGGGAUACACGGCUCCCGAGUACUCCAAUGAACGGUACCUGACACUGAAGUGUGAUGUGUAUAGCUUCGGAAUCAUCUUGUUGGAGAUUGUCAGUGGGCGAAGGAACAGAACCACCCCAACGCUCCUUUCUGAUGUGAGCACAUUAUUGCUAACAGAGAAGAAACACUAUUUUCUGCAGUAUUCUGUAAAUAAAAAUGCCUUGCCAUUUCUUCAUGAAACUAAACAGGCAUAAUUUUGUUAUUGUUUCUUUUAGGCCUGGGAGUCCUGGAAUCAAAGUAGGACCCGCGACCUUCUUGAUCCAGCUGUAGGGCAACCGGAGCCCGAGCUCUUGUUUGAGCUGGAGAGAUGCGUGCAGAUAGGCCUUGUCUGCGUGCAACAAUCGCCUGAUGACAGGCCUGCCAUGUCCGCAGUGGUUGCGAGGCUAAACAACAACGGCUUGCAGAUCCGUCCACCCAAGAGACCAGUGUUGGACAGCAGUACCGAGUCUCCUGCUCUCCACGAAGCCGAUCGGUCAAGCCAGGAAGCAUCUGGGACAUCACGCAGCAGCUACUCGAUAUAUCUCACAUAAAUAGUUAUUUCAUAAUCUUCAUUUUUUUAUUAAUGAGGUGGUUGCUUCAUGAAACAACCACAUCUUUCUCUUACUUUUCUGUAUCUACUUCACAUCAUUAAAAAUCUAUAUAGCAUUGUAUGAGAUGGUCUUCUAGUACUGUUGACAUGUACGGAUGUACCUGCUGUGAGGAGAUCCUGCCCUUUGUCCAUGUGCCGGAUAUCCACGAGCACGCACGAACAGUACCUUUGCUGCCUGGUGUGUUCAUGGUAGCAAGGUGUUCAACAGAUGGUAAAAUUCAAAGACAAGACAUCGCCUGCCAUGCUACUUGAUUCGAGAAAAUCAGGACGAGUAGUUCUUAGCAGGACCAGGGGCCCCAAGCAUCACAUUUGUUUUUUAGGGAUCACAAGAAUCUAUAAUGUCAUAUGACGUGUACACAUACACACAUGCACUCAGUAUUCCCAAAUAUGAAUACAGUUCACGAGUUACAACUUACAAGUACUAUAUUUUUGAACUAAACAUUCCGUACAAACUUUUUGUUUUUUAGGGAUCAGCUGGAGUUGCCCCUGCUGCUUAUAAAGAUACUCCGUACAAACUUAGUAAUAGGAAGACGAUAUACAGUGUGAAACUUGGGCAGCCUGAGACAAUGACACUAUCUGCCCUGAAGAUCCGUGUACGUUAAUUGAUUCCCAGAUUCAGUACUGUUGUCAUCCGCAGGAAGACGAGGAGCCCUUCCAACAAAAAAUGCAGCUUGCUUGGGAGACGGAAUCGUAACAUCACCGCUCAACAUCCUGAGCACCAUGGACAUGGUUGGCCUUUCAGCUGGUAACUCCUGCACGCACAGGAGACCCACCUGAAUGCAUCUGCAGACUUCGUCGUAAGUGUAUGUUGUUCCCAUAAGCGGAUCGAUAAGCUCUGAGACACUGCCUUCCUUCCACAGGGUCCAUGCCUGGAACAUUAUAUUCGUUGUGAAUGAGAGAGAGCAUUGGCAAGAAAAAAGUUCAUGACUAUUUUCUAGCUGUUUUGAUUUGAUGAGAAUGAAUAUGGUGAGUGGAGACAGUGGUCUCUUACAUAGCCCAAGAGGUUCAUUGACCAUUCAUCAUCGACAAAAGAGCUGUUCCUGCGGCCACUCACAAUCUCUAGGACCAGCACACCGAAACUGAAGACGUCAGACUUGUCAGAGAAUUUACCCUCCAUUGCAUACUCCGGGGAGAUGUAACCACUGCGUUCCACAGAUUUUAUCACAUUAGCUUGUCGCCAGGUGAUGCUAUGUCUACCUACUAGAAGGGGAAUCAAUUUUCCUAUUACGCGAAUAAAGCAGUAAGAACAGAAAUGUUAUUACUACAAAGAAGAUGCAACUACUGAGCAGUACCAAACCAACCAUUACAGAAGCAGAUGAAUGCAAUGGAACUCCCUGUUGAGCUAUAUGCUGUAGCUAGAAAAAGAGAAAAACAGCCUUACUAGGUUCCGACAAUUCGACGAGUAAGGUCUUGAAGCUGGUGUUCACCGAAAAUUCGAGCCAUGCCAAAGUCGGAUAUCUUGGGGUUGAAAUCAUCAUCUAGUAAAAUAUUGCUUGCUUUGAGAUCCCUGUGAAUAAUUUUCAGCCUGGAAUCCUGAUGAAGGUACAGUAGCCCUCUUCCAAUUCCCUGAAUAAUCUUGUAUCGCAAUUUCCAGCCUAAUACAAGUCUCUUACUUUCAUCUGGAAAAAAUAUAGAGAGUAUUAGAUGUCCAUAGAAAAAUUUAUUUACUGGCUGACUGUAUAAAGUAUUAGUAUAAAAUAAGAACUGCAAGUAACUGAAACUUACUGAAAAUAAAUGAGUCAAGACUCUUAUUGGGCAUGUAUUCAUACAACAUCAUCUUCUCUUCUCCAUGAAUACAACAACCAAAAAGCCUCACUAAGUUCCGGUGUUGCAGCUUGGAUAGCACCGUCACCUCAUUCUUGAACUCUUCCAAUCCCUGCCCAGAGCUUUUAGAUAGCCUCUUAAUAGCAAUCUCUUGGCCAUCUGGCAGUAUCCCCUGGAGAUACCAUCAAGUAUCCACUAUGGUUAUCCAGAUGAAUGAAAAGAACUAAUUGAACACUCAACCAUAUCAAAAAAACUGGAGGAAGUAUAUGAAUUAUCCAAUACCCCACCUUGAAAACUGGACCAAAUCCACCUUCACCAAGCUUUUCACUGAAAUUGUUCGUUGCUGAAUAAACAGUGCUGAACUCAACUAAUGGUGAGCUCAAAAUUGAUCUUUUCACCGAAUCAUCUUCAUAUAUGUUGUCAUCUGCAGCUGAUGUUGAUCUAUCUUCUCCAGCAAUCUGAAAUAAUGGUUUCUGUAUUCUCCGUGCGCCUGCAAUUUGGUGAAAAGUUAACAAAGUGACAAACAUACUCCUUUUUGCUUGGAGCAUUCAACAAACCUACAUAAGAAUUCAUGUAAAUUAAACAAUGACAGUUACAUCUAAAAAUCUGGUGCCAUGGAAAUAACACUGAUGCUAAAUCAAAUAUCGUGUUUCAAAAUCUUAGCAACAGCAGGAUUUGGAAAGUCACAACGUUAGAACAGAUUGAAAAAUAUGCUGAUAAAAAAAAAGAAAGCAGCUUUAUCAAGUGUGUAUGAAGCUACUCGUUUGUCAAUUUUGGACAUAAUUUACAUAAAAACAAAUAAAAAAGAAAGAGAGAAGAAGACCAAGUAGACUGAAGAAACCAUGAAGCUCAGAUGCAUGUAAGAAUAAGGCAGCAAGCAUCAUCUCACCUAUUUGCUUGAUGAUCUGCCUCUUCAGGAAACCAAACACGCAGAAAUGCAUGGUGCUAAUCAGGAAGCUAGUACCUCACUACCAAUACACCCAAUACAUCAGGCUUUUAUGCUUGGCAUAUAUGACUGCAGGUCAAACAGGAAAUUGCGUGCCUUUUGCAGGCCAAGAAUCGCUAACGCUCCUCUUUUCAACAGAACCGUUUGGUCAACUGGGUAAUGUCACGUAAUGAUAAAAAAAACAAAACUGUUAGUUUGAUAUGAUGAUGGAACAUGAUGCUAUUAUAUAGGAUUUAUCUUGUUUGACAUCUUGGCUUAGACGACAAUACUGAAGAGUUCAGUACUUGUUUAUGUGAUUAAAUUUGACUAUUGCGAGAUGCCACUAUCUGUAGAUGCCACGCCCAAACGCGUAGCUUGCUAGAGAAGUAAAUAAAUAUUUUAAUUUGUAAACGAUGUCAUUAGUAGGUUAGGACAGAAGAGUCUUGAUAGGGACAAGCACAACAAAACAACAAGCAAGAACUGAGCUGGGAUCAUUUCCCAGUAGCCGGUUCUGGAUGACCGAUUCUGAAACUUCAGACGCGGAAUGUAUACACCUUGCAUCAUUGCAAGGACCAUCGUAGUAACACAUUGGCUCAUUACUGGUAAGACACUCGCAAGUCCUGAUCCCUAACACCUGAAUAAUGUACUGUAUUAUCUGCAUAAAAGCAGAGCAGGAUGGUGGAUGGAGCUGACACCAUAUUUGGACAAACUAUACCUACAUGGCCUUCACUCUUCGUGCAGGCGGAUCAAGGAUGCCAUUAAAGUAUUAAACGCAGCAGAUUUUGAGAAAUAAAAUUUUGCGCAAAUGGUGGGAGAGCAAGAGGCCGUCAGGACACGCACGGUGGGGUGGUCGGCGCAUACCUUCAGAGCAGACAGAGGAAUUGACCGGCGACGUGGUGUCGCUUAGGGUCGGCGGCCUCCUCCCUCAACAUCGCCCGGCCAGAUAUUCGAGUGCCGCCAAGGUCUCCGGCGAGCGGGCGGGUUCGGCUCUGAAGCCGUUGACCUCACCGCUGCAUCAAACAAGCGUCGGAGGACGGGCAACGAGCGGAUGGCGACCUCGUUCCAGUCAUCCAGUGUUAAAAUACUUCGGGUGGCCUAGCCUGUCGAGCGGACAUUGGGCCCCGAUUCUUCGAUAGCCCAUAUCGAUUUGGAUCUUAAUGGGCCAUAAUGGUUCGGAUCCACGAGCGCGAGGCCGCGAUCCACGUACACCAUCCUCCAGGCCUGGGCCGGGGCAGACUCACAUUCAUUCGACCCAUUGUUUCUUCCUGGGCCGGAGCAGACUCAUAUGCAUUCGAUCCAAUUGUUUCUUCCGGUUCCACUCAAAAAGGGGGAAAAAGUGAUUCUCAAAAAAAAAAGGAAAAAAAGUUUCUUCCAGUGUUUCUCAAAAAAUAAAAAGUUUCUUCCAUUCCAGAGCACAAGUUUGAUUGUUUGGAUUUUCAUGGAUAGACAAGGAAAAUAAAUAUCUGGAUUGCAUGAUUGUUUGAAUAAACCUUUAUUUCUCACGUGGAUUGAAUGCAUUGUACUGAACUGGGAGAGGAAAAAACGUUUAUUUCGCUUUCUAAUUCGAAUUCACAUAAUCACAUGUAUUGGCUGAAAAUGGAUUUAUCCAGACACACCUUGAAAGAGUAAUAUGGUGAAAAACAUUUGUGACAUGGAAUCGGUGUCGUUUAAUUGAAGUAUAGCUAACUCACUAUCUAUUUUGGAAGAUAAAGUGGGCCAUAUAUAAUAGUUUACAUUUACAUUACUAUUUUACCCUUUUAGAGCAUAUAUGGCUCGUGUAAUAAGGGUGUCAUCUUAUCUCUUGAGCAUUUAUAGUGGUAAUAUGUUGUCUUGCUCGUCACAUGCUCGCAAAGAGAUAAGGUAUAGUGAUGGAUCAACUCAAUUCCAAUUAUCAAACUGAUAUGAGGAGGACACCCAUAGUGGUGGGUCGAUUUAUCAAUCACAAGAACAACCAUGUACUCAAAAUGGUGGAGUCAAUUCCUAAGACAAAAGAUAACAGGGGUCCUACAAAAAAAUCUACACAGUACGUUCUUCUCCAUCCACAUAUCCCAUGGCAGGUGGGUGAAAUCCACUUUCUAUUCAUCAAGAGUGACUCUGAGAUAUGAACCGACUCUUCUCUCUCUUCCAUGAUUCACUUUCUCCUGUCGUUGGUUAGGUUCUUGGAGAAUCCACGCUGAAUGAUGCAUCACUUUAUCUUUCCCACUAAAGAAGCCCUAAGAUGUGAUGGAUGUAACCAUGUAACUCAAUUCCAGCCAUAUGUUUAGAGCAAAGCCUCUGGCAUUUGAAUACCAAUCAUGAAACCAAACUAGUUGAGUAGUUAGGAGCAUCGUUCGAUUCGGCUCGUCCAAAAGCAAGCAUGCAUGUUGGCAAACAUGUGUGUAGCCGAAUCCAAACAUGUGUCUGGAUGAGGUGGAAUUCAAAACAUGUGUGCACCUAAAUUCGAACAAGGGUAUCGAAAACAUAUGCUUGUAGUUCAAUCUUGGAUGAGGCCGUAACAAUGCUUCAAUUGUGCGUUCAUUUUCUAUUUCUCAUGUAAACUAGACUCGGUGAAGAGAGUUUGUAGAAGAGACUAAGUAAUUUUUCUUGCCAAUCCACAUGUGUUGGGUGGGAAGAAAAGUGCAAAAUGGUUGGUGGGGAAUGUCACUUGGCAUUAUCUUUCUUUUUUUUCCCUUGAACACACACUUAGGCUUGUGAUCCAUUAAGAGGAAAGAGAAUAUCAGUUGGCACUAUCUUAGUAUUUUUGUGGAAUUGUGGUUAAUAUAAGAUGGACCAUUAUGUAUUGGCUGUAAAUAGCUAGCUCGAUAUAUAUUUUUGGAUUGGAUUGGUCUAUAUUCCUUUUAUCUCUUUCCCACGAAGCACGUAAUAAAGUGUGAUAAAAAGUGUCAUCUUAUCUCGACAUUUGUAGCGGUAGCAUUUUGUUCCGCUCACCACAUGCUGGCAAGAGAAAGAUGAUGAUUGAUCAACUCAAUUUUGAUAGCUUUUUUUAAAAAAGAAAAGACCUAUAUAUGUCCGCUCAAUUUCGAUCAUGAAACCAAGCAAAACCAGUAAGCAGUGCCGUUCCAUUCCACUCGUCCAACUCGGUGGUUCGACUCGGAUGAGUCCGUAAACAAAUGUUUCCAACAUAUGGUUGGUACUACCUGAUCGAACGCCUUGGGAAAAGGACAAAAAAUUGAACCAUUCAACCAGAGCGAUGUGAAAUUAUCCGCUUCGCUUCGUGUCGUUUCUCUGCUAGUAAACGCGCUUUAGGAAAUUUAGCGUAGUAGGCCAACGCGGCUAAGCAUCCCCCCACCCCCCCAUUCGGCAUUCGCCGGCGACGCUGCGUGCAGGCGUGCGUGUGCGGCCGGGAAAUUCACGGCGUCCACUCCAAGCCACGCGCGCCAGGACGCGUCCGGCGUCCGCGCUUCCGCCCGUUUCAUUUCACACACCAGGCAGGCACCAGGCACCACGGCACGGCGUCUGGUCUGGUCUGGUCUGGAAGAGGAAUCGGCUAUGUUUACUUCCACCAAAAUCUAAAUUUUCAAAAUUCUUUGUCACAUCGAAUCUUUAAACGUAUGCAUGAAGUAUUAAACAUAGACGAAAAUAAAAACGAAUUGUACAGUUUGAUCGAAAUUUACCUGACGAAUUUUUUAAACCUAAUUAGUUCAUAAUUGGACAAUAAUUACAAAUGAUAGUGCUACAAUGUCACGAAUUUUGCGCCGUCGGGUCCAAACAAGUGGAAGCAGGUGCAGCGCGCCGAGCAAGCAACCAACCACGCAUGCACAGGCAGAUGCGCUGUCUGGUCUGCCACUCAACUCUGCCCGGGCCGAUUCUGCCGUCAUCUGCGAGCGCCGGAGCCGGAUCACAUGUCAGACACCGAGGAUCCUAUCCGAUCCGAUCGGCGCUUCUUUCCCUUGGACGCUCCCAGCCUGCGACGCCGUGGACCUGUGGUGGUUAGGCUAUGCUACGGUUAUACUACUACUGCUGCGCUCUGUGUGUUCAUAUACAGGUCCUGACGAGCGACGUGAGUAGCAUUAAACUACCGAUCGGCUCUCGCGAUAACGACCGAUUGGUCGCUGCUUGCGUAAGCAGGCAAUUUUCUUUUCUUUUUCUUCACGUUUUGUUCUAGACACCGGACCGUGCAUGGGCAUUGGCCGCUGCUUUGAUUUACAUGACGACCGUUUUCUUUUGAGAGAGAGAGAGGGCCGAGGCUGUUUGCUUGUCUUAUAAACUAUAUUUUUUCUAUCAGUCAGCAAUACUUUUUUAUUAUAAUAAAUCAGCGAACAGUAUUUUGAGUCAUGACUUUUCAGAACGAACAGAGUCGACUUUGUGUGACGGUGGGCCUGUCUUGUUCGUUUAGGCUUAUGAGCCAAAUCUGUCAGGCAUUCAGCAGUGUUUUUCUCUCACAAUAAAUCAGCUCGAGGUGUAGUAGUUGUGCUAUUGUCGUCUACUACCAACAAACACUUAAAGUUUUAGGUAGCGUUUGUUUAGUUAGGAGGAUUUGGCUAUUCUAGUUUUCGGAUUGUUUUUGGUGAAUUGAGGAAUGAAAUGGUAUUUACUGAUUCUGUUGGUCCGUGUCCACUGCUGUAGCUAUACCAAUUACCAACUUAAAUAAAUAAAUCUGUUUGGACUAGCUAUGACUAUUUGCCAGUAUGUAAAAAUGCUUCAGGACCUACUAUUAUACAAGGUUUGAUGACAUAGUCCGCAUUCACAUUCAAGUCAGUAAAAGUUCGGGUUAUGAGGAUUUUAUACAAGGGCAAACUAGGCCAUACUUAAUGGGAUGCUAUUCAUGGUACAAGCUGGCCACAAAUUGCUUGUGGCACUACACAAUAGGAUGUUUCUUUUUGCCGAGAAAUAACACUAGAGAAUAUGUUGCUUCAAACAGAACAACAAUACGAAGACCUCAUAACCAGCUUGUGAAAAAAAGAGAGAUUGUGACUAAUACCACUAAGGCCUUGUUUAGUUCGUGAUUUUUUUUGGUUUGGCUAUUGUAACACUUUCGUUUGUAUUUGACAAUUAUUGUCCAACCUCUAGACUCAAAAGAUUCGUCUAGCAAAUUAUAGGCAAAUUAUACAAUUAGUUAUUUUUUAUCUAUAUUUAAUGUUUCAUGCAUAUGUCUAAAAAUUUGAUGUGAUGGAGAAUCUUGAAAAUUUUUGUGAACUAAACAAGGCCUAAUGCUACGCACAUUGAAAUUUCAAGUAAUAGCUACAUCCUCAGUUACCUCUGCCUUAGGCCAAUUGAAACUUCAACUAAUAGCUACUCCCUCAGUUACCUCUGCCUAGGCCAACUUCACUAAUAUUGACCAGUUUUUUUAGAAAAAUAUUACCAUAAAAAAUUCGGAAAAUACAAUAUCAGUACAUAUUUUAUGAACAAAUUAAUUAUUACUAAUCUGAUGUUUUUGCAUUUUUUUAACUUAGGACAGUUAUUAAUAAAAUGAACCAUAUAAUUUGGGAAAGGAGGAAACAACAUAAACUUGGCAGGUUAACCGGCACAAAGGAAAAGAUGGGAGGAAAGUGGAAAGCGAGGACGUGCUGCCAUCACGUGACGUGUGAUGCGGUCCAACGCCAAUAUGGCAGUGGAUGCAGCGCCGGAGGCGGACAAUCGCCAGCAACAUCGGACGAACGCAAUUCGAACGGAGGUCCAGGUACUUUUCUUCUUUCCCCGCUGCUUCCUUCCUCGUCGUCCUCGCCUCCGUCGGGUCACCCUAUUAAUACCUGCCGUCCCUCCUCUCAUCCAGGCCCAAACCCACACCCAGGUCCUGCCCUCGGGGAGCCGAAUCCACACCAAAGGACGCGGGGGGACGCCGGACGCCCCGGAUUCUUGGGAUUCCAGGUAAAAUCCAGGGAACCGACCGCCUCUGCUCUGUCUUCUCACGGGGGAUCUUGCCUGCGGAUUUCUUUCUUUCUUGGCCUUUACUUGGAUGCCGUGUUCCAAUUACGGUGCGCUUGCCGGUAAUCGAAAGAUCUUGCUAGGAUCUCGAUCCUUGCCUCGGCUCGGGCUCCGUGGUUGGUUCUUGCUCUUUGUCUAUCCUCCCCGCAUAGCCUGAUUGCAUGCCAGCCCGGAUGCGCACAGGCUCAUCCCGACCUCUCGUCCAUGGGCAUGGGAUCCCAUUUUUGCUGCUAGUUUUUGUAGACAUUUUGGGAGCAUCGUGGCAUUGUUUUGUUUCACCGAGGAAAACUGUCGACAUUGCGAUCUGCGAUCUCUCUACUCCCAUUAUUCUUUCAUCCGAAAAAAUAUCUUUCGAACAAAGUAUGAUUAUAGAAAUCGUUGCGAAAAGAAUCAGUAGGUUCCGAUUUCUUUAUUCUCUCUAGGCAAGGCAGAUGCGCAGAGCUCCUGCCCGUUGCAAUCACACACACACCCAAAAAAAACGCUCUAGGCUACAUGCCCUUUGUCUACUUUGUCAUUUUUGCCCUUUUUUUUGUUACAAUGAUUAUUAGUAUUAAACACGGCAAUACAUAGUGCAAAUUUAGGAUAUCUAGAAUUAGGUGAGAACAAUUGCAAUUUUGACCAUCCUGCGACUUCUAAUUUCUUUCCACUUCUCAGUGGAUGGAAUAUAAGGAGUAAGGGGGAUUCAAUUCAACUAUAGUUACUCAUGAUAAUGCUUUUGCAGAUGGAACUACACAGAAUUUGCACUAAUGGUUCCUGCCACAUCUCAUGCGGGCCACUGACAGACUACUACAUCCCUGAUUACAUACUGAAACCGGACUCUGAACAAGUCACUGUUGAUAGUGUACCAUGUUGCCCUGUGGUAGUCUUCAUCAAUUCUAAAAGUGGUGGCCAGCUCGGAAGCAGUCUGAUCAAAACAUACCGUGAACUUCUCAAUGAAGCGCAGGUAAAUAGGCUAGCAGUUAGGCAAUGCUGUAACACUGAAAAUAUGCAUUCACAUGCACUAUACUAUGUAGUACUUCAAAUCAUUUUCUCAUUGUUGGAUCCACUCAAUUGUUUUUUCAAAGGUUUUUGAUCUCUUAGAAGAGGCUCCUGAUAAGGUUCUACACAGAUUAUACUGCAACUUUGAAAAGCUCAAGUCUAACGGUGACCUUGUUGCUACUCAAAUUCAGAAGAGCUUAAGGCUAAUUGUGAGAAACCUACUUUUGGAUUUGUAAUUCCAAAAUGAAUUUCUGGUUGGAUAUGUCCUUUUAUUUACCAAGGAUCUUUUAAAUAUAGGUUGCUGGUGGUGACGGCACGGCAAGUUGGUUGCUUGGAGUAGUUAGUGACCUGAAACUAUCACAUCCCCCUCCUGUUGCUACUGUGCCUCUUGGAACUGGAAACAACCUCCCUUUUGCAUUUGGAUGGGUAAGUUAACGCCUUUUUCUUAUUUUGAGCAUACUGAAUUCUUAGUUAUGAUUAAUAUUCUACCUCUCUGUGCAUUAUGUGUCUGGAACAUUUAUGUUUUUACGCAAAUGGAGAAAUGUAGUGUAGAGUUAAUUUUUUUUACAGUUAGACAAACAUAAUAAAGCCAUAAAAGUUAACCAAGUUUUACAAUUCUGAAAAGCAAUAAUGUAUUUUAAUCUGACUGCAGGGAAAGAAGAAUCCAGCUACUGACCAAGCAGCAGUGAAAUCAUUUCUGGGUCAAGUAAAAGGAGCAAGAGAAAUGAAUAUUGAUAGGUACCGUCUUGCUUACAAAGAACUAAAGAUAAUGUCUUGCUCAUGACACUGCAUGAGCUCGUUCAUCCAUCUCAUAUGAUGAACUGUUUUAUGCUUUUUUUCCAAUUAUUGUUCCACUUAUCUUAGCAACAUUAGAAGUUUAGAACAUGUCCUUAUGUGCAGCGUACGAAAGAAAACACUCAGUUUAACUUGUAGUUGUAUUUUUCUGUUUCAGUUGGCAUAUCAUCAUGAGGAUGCGAAUUCCACAGGAAGGCCCAUGCGAUCCUAUUGCUCCCUUAGAUCUUCCACAUUCAUUGCAUGCUUUCCACCGUGUAUCAGCUUGCGAUUCUCUCAAUUUGGUAAGAAAUAUCUUUGAGAUGCAACCUUUUUCUGUUACUUCUUUUACUUGUAAUGUAAAGGCAGACUUUGAUAGUUAUGCUAUUGUUUUAAGUGCCAUAUGUAAUAUAGAGCAGCAUCUUAUUGAUUUUAUUUUUUUCAGGAGGGCUACCACACAUUCCGUGGAGGAUUCUGGAAUUAUUUUAGCUUGGGUAAGAGUUAUCUGUAAUCUGUUCAAUUCUAUCACUUCGAAUCUUAAACCUUUUCAUCAAGAAUGUUUGAUUGUGUAUGGUAACCAUGAUAGUCAUAAUUUGAACAUACUGCAGGAAUGGAUGCACAAGUAUCCUAUGAAUUUCACUCUGAAAGAAAGAGAAAUCCAGAGAAGUUCAGACACCAACUAAGAAAUCAGGUAUAUUUUCUUUUUAUGUUUUUUCGAUUUUCACUAACUUGAUGGUCAUUAGGAUUUGCAAACCUCAUCAGCAUGGUUAGAAUAAUGCAUUUCUUUGAUGCAGGGUACAUAUGCUAAGCUUGGAUUUAAACAUUCCCUAAACCAUCUUUCUUCGAGGUACUUUGUCACUAAUGCAGCUAUAAUGCUUCUGAUCUUGAUCAUAUUAUACUUCAUUUUUCUAUAUCAGCAUGUUCAGUGUAGUAUCGAAUUAUGGUGACAUUAGUUCUGUCUGUAUGAGGAAUUCUUCACCAUCACUUUUAGAGUCUCUGUAUUCCUUGAUCUCUGAUAUAUAUGGCCUAUACAACUUCCACUUUCAGGAACAUUUCUCAACUUGCAAAGGUGAAGAUCAUGAAAAGACCUGGUAGCCAAUGGGAAGAGCUCACGAUUCCUCGCAGGUAAUAUUUUUGUUUUGCCCAGCCAUAUCCAAUGUACGAUUAAUUUUCAUUUUGUGCAUAUGAGAUCCCUGCUGCUUUAAAUCCAAUAUUCGACUUCCCAAGCUUUUUCCCAAACUGUUGUAAAAACUGACAAACAUUGUCCAUCUUGUUUCAGCAUUCAAUCAGUUAUCUGCCUCAACCUGCCAAGCUUCUCGGGAGGAUUGAAUCCCUGGGGAACACCUGGCACUAGGAAAGUACAAGACGUGAGUUUUCCUUCUUCAAACCUGUUACAGACUAGUAGCACUUGGCAUUGCUGUGUUGAUGACAGUACUAGUAGCACUUGGCAGAGAUUGAUAAGUUCUCAUUUCAUGGCAAUAUGCAGAGAGACCUGACUGCACCUUACGUUGAUGAUGGCCUUAUCGAGGUUGUCGGCUUCCGUGACGCCUGGCAUGGGCUCAUCUUGCUGGCUCCUAAUGGCCAUGGAACUCGUCUAGCACAGGUGAGCUACUCUUCUGUUUCAGCAGUUCGGCACACGCUCCACCUAGCUAGGAUACUGAAGAUUGCUGAGUGUUUUUUUUUUCUUUUUUGCUUUAAGGCCCAUCGAAUCCGUUUCGAGUUCCACAAGGGAGCAGCGGAGCACACGUUCAUGAGGAUCGACGGGGAGCCAUGGAAGCAACCUCUCCCCAAGGAGGACGACACGGUGGUCGUGGAGAUCUCCAACCUCCGUCAGGUGGCCAUGCUGGCCAUCGACCCGUGCAGGUCGAAGAGCGUGAACGAGCCGUCCUCCCCGUUGUGCCACAGCCACGAGGACGACGACAGCAACAGCCUGGAGGACGAGGACGAGUGGGAGGACGGGAGGAAGAAGUUCGGCGCGGCGGCCACCUUCAAGAUCCCUGACGAGGUCGACAUCGCUCAUCUUAGUUAGAAUUAGAAACCCGUCCGGCUGCUUCUGCGUUCGUGAUGAGUUUGUGCAUGCGGUUCCCGGGGGUUUAUUUUAGGAUCCAUUUCAGUGUCUUCACUGCUGCUCUUAGUGAUACCACUCCCUUUUUUUUUACGAGUUCAGAUUUCAGAAGCUAACCACCGCUGUUAGCGAAACUGCUCAUUUUGCUAUCUACAGCUAUAUUCUGUAAAUUCAAGUGUAACAGCCAUGUGUAGACCGGCUGCAUUGCACUGACUGAAAAUUUUCUGUGGGCUACGCCCAUUGUGAUCGCUCUAGCUCUUCUCCAUGGAAUCACAUUCACAUGUAUGUCUGUUUGUCUCCCUGAUUAUUGCCAGCUGAAUCUUACUCUUCGAACACGGGAUCAGUUGGAUACCUAGUUUGAAACGUUUCCACCAUGAAAACGACUUUUGGAACGGAAGAGAUCCACAGGCCACAGCAAAGGCCUAGCAUCAAUACCGUGUUUGAACAGAAUUCAGAAACAAAAUACCUUGUUAGACAGCAGCAAUUUUCAAUCACGUAAUCUGUCAGAGCCACGACAGGCAAAACGCGUCGCUGUCGACGUCACACGUUGAUGUGAGUGAGGACGAUGGACGAAGAUAAGAUCAGCGACGCGACAAAUGAUAGCUUCUGGACUUCUCUCUGCUCUGCGUCCGCAGCUGUUAGCCGCCGCUGUUUCAGAUAAUCCUCCCGGUUCCAAGCCAAACCACGUUCCCCGCGCGCCCACCAGAAAGCAGAGAGACAGGCAGAGGCGCGUCCUGCUUGGCUGCUUGCUUUCGCUGCAGUAUAAAAGGCCCCCGCGCGCCUCUCAGCACUCCACGUCAAUCCACAACUCAAAAGUCGCAAGGCGAGCAAUUUGCAAGGCGAUGAGCUUGAGGUACAUGAGCCGUGUGGGCGCGCGGGCGGCGCAGGCGGUGCGGGAGAGCACGGGGAGGUCGGUCAAGGACAAGGCGCAGUCGUCGGCGUCGGCGUCGAUGGCGAGGAGCGGCGGCGGCAGCAGGCCGGCGCCGGCCGCCGGGUCGUCGGUGGAGUCGGGAAGGGCGAGCGCCGCGGCGGUGGCCAGGAGGAAGGCGGAGGAGGAGAAGCGGCGCCGCGCCGAGCAGGCGCUGCGCACCGUCAUGUUCCUCUCCAUCUGGGGGCCCAACACCUAGUACUAGUAGGAGCAUCUUGUGUAGCGUGUGUUGUGUUGUGCGCGUUUGUUUUGUUUGAGGUUGGAAACAAGAUGUAAAUUUGUUACAAUGAUCUAAUAGAUGAAGACAUCCAUACGCUGAUUCUUGGAAACAAGGCCUUCGUGUUGGUCUGCACUCUGCAGUAGAUGUGUUAUCCAUGUGCGUGUGUACACCGUGCCGUGCUAGCGGUCCGUGUAUACUAUUUCAACUUCUGCAGUGCCAUUAUAUUUUGUAUUGGUGAUAUUUUUUUAAAACAACUUUUUUUUUCUUGACGUGUUGGGAUUUGGGAAGGCUAUGCGAAACAUUUCGAUGCACUGCGUCCCUGUUCUUGUGGAAAUCGCAGUAUGACGUGUAUCUCCCCGUUUCACAGAGUUUCAGUUCUCCUUCGUGACCGUCGUCAUCAGAGUUAGUAGCAGUCUAGCAGCAGGCAGGUAAGGGAGGUUUUCCACGACGGCGUUGAAGGCCAGCAUGAGCUACAAACAGGACUUGCGACAAGAAGCCAAGCGGAAGUGCGGAACCGCGCGAUGCGCCGGCUCCGAGAUCCCUCAUCGCUGACAGACGCUGUGGCAACCGGCAACGCUGUUUCUUGUGAUUGCACGCUCUGGUUCGUCAGUUCGUGGAGAACGGUCAUGCAGCAUCAUGCGCACAGGUCAUGCCCUCGACUUUCAGUUCAGCUAAAGCCAGGCACAGAUAGAUAGCACAGAGCUUGAGCAUCCUGCUCUUCCAAAAGUUCGUCGCUACUACGGCAACUCUUACACCCUGUCCGUGUAUACAGAUACAGUGAGCAAACACGCUAUCAUCCUACACACGUCUCCCUAACACAGACCGGUGACGAAACCGUACGUAGAGUAGAACAAUUAACAACGACGUACGUAGCCUAAUUGGGUCCCCAGCAGACGAGGUGCAUCACGUUGUCGUCCUUCUCCGCUCUCCUCCUCCUCCUCCUCCUCAGCGUCGUCUCCGCCGCGACCGCCUUCUCCGCGGACACGCCCCCACCAGCCUUUCCUCCCUGCGCCCGCUGAGCCGCCACCCCCGGCUUCGCCGCGCCAGGCAUCGGCGUCGGCCUGCUAGGCGGCUGCCUGGCCCUCGCGGCCACGGCCUGCGCCGCUCGCCACGCCACCCUGCUCGCGUACCUCAGGCUCAUCGAUGGGUGCAACUGCAAACACUGCUGUUCUGAACCAGUGAUUUUACCGCUGCUCAUAGAUAUAACACGGCACUAGACAGUUCACAGUUGCAUGAAUAUAUAUGCGAGCUGCGAGGUAUAGAGCACGGUAGUAUUCAGUUCCGAAACCGUCAGCCCGCGCAGCGCGGCUGUGUGCACACAGAACGACUGCCCGCUGUUUCGAUCGGUCCGUCGUAACACUAACACGACAUUCGUUUCCGGUGUGCGCAAAUAUGUGGGAGAGCAUUUCUGCAGGUUGGUGGACGACACAUCGCAGCGGCCGGAUUUUGAGUAUCCGGUGGCUGGCCUGCGCUGCGCGAUUAGCCGAGUGAGAACAAAACGAAGAAACUGCGGACGUGCGGUGGUGCCGGCACAAAAGCCUAACGGCUUUGAUGGAUGCGGCCCCGCGGGGAAGGAAGGAAUCUGGUGCCAGGGGAGAUGGAUGGGGCAUUGGGGACCGGACUGUCAGUCAGUUUCAGGGUUAGCACCAAAGUUGGC
rnacentral:lncRNA from 1 species